UUGUAGAAAACAGGUAUCACAUCCCUUCCAUAUCUCUUCUUGCAUUCAAGUAUCUUAGUGAGUUCAUUCAAGCACCAAGUGGAAGAUGCAUAGUUUUGGGAGAAAACGAUGACAUAAAUCUUUGAUUCUUCUAUUGCAGAGAGUAGUGCAGGUGAAAUUUCUUCGCCCCGGGGUAGUCUCUCGUCAAUAUAUGCUUGAAUGUUCUUCCUUUGCAGUGCUGCAUGAAGGUGACGAAUGAAGUUGUCACGUGUGUCUUCCCCUCUGAAGCUGAGAAACACAUCAUGCUUUGUUAGAGAAGCAGACACGGGGAAUGAUGAAGGACUUCCUGACAUUGGAAUCAAUUUUCUCUCUUUUCUCUUGCAACUCUCAGUGCCUUUGUUUGUACACAAAUCAACUCUUGGAAAAGUCUUUGAAUUUUCUCAAAAGUAUCUUUCACAGAUCACGCACGCGUGGAAACAUAGCUGUGUUAAAAUCCUUAUUUAAGUUUUAAUUGGGCCUUGUAGUGGGCUUUGUAAUGUGCUUUUCUUUUCUCCUACAUUGCUUUAUAUAUACACCUCAGCGUUUGCUUUCUACAUUUCAUUUUACAAAAUACAUUCUCUCAUUUUCUACCUUUUAUAUUGUCUGAUUCCGUUCUCUCUUUAUUUUUUUUCAAAUCUCUUUUGCUUACAAUUUUUUUUUCUUUUUUAAGAAAUGUACUUUUUCAAGUUUAAUUUAAUUUUAUAAAACAGUCAUCUUUCUACAGUAUUAUCAUCUCUUACGUGAGAUUAUUAUAUAUUAUUUGGUGAUCUAAGUAAACUUUUAAUCCAAUAAACUUUAAAAAUAAUUCUAAUACUAUAUUAAAAAAUGAAAUUUAAAUCUAAUUCUAUUUUAUAAAAUAUAUUUAUUCAAUGCUAAAAUAUCUCUAAUUGAGUAGGGAUGUUCAAAAUACUUAUUGGUUCUUGAUUUUCACUUUCACUUUUAAGGUUUUUCUUCGCAGACACGUAGUAAACAGAAAUACAAAAAUAUGAGUCAAUGGAAGAGUCUAACGAUUCGCAGAAUAUUAUGGUGUCUAGCUUUAUACCGCAUUAAUGCGAGGAGUUUCUUUAAUAUUUUUACUCAAUUUAUUUAUUUUUAAUUCUUUUUUUUUUCACACCUUUUACAAAUAAAGAAUCGUAUUUCUUUAAUAUAUUUUAGAAAAUAACCACUAAACCUUAUUAUAAAAUAUAUUUAUGAAAUGCACGUGUAAGAAUAACAGGAAAAAUAUUACUACGAAAAACAAUAUAUUAAUAUUAAUAUGUUUCUUAAUAAAUUUCAUACCCACUGUCUAUUUAUAAAUUAAUAUAAUAUAAAUAUCUUUAAUGAUGUUUUUGUGGGUAGCUUAUUUCUCUAACGCAGAAUAUUAUGGUGUCUACUUUUAUAAAACAUUACAUUUUGAUUUUAAUAUUUAUUAAAUAUUUUUUAUUUGGGAUGAAGUAACGAUGAUGAAUCGAAUGUGUUUUGAAGUCUGACAUAACUUUUAGAGAUGUUAUGAGAACGGUUAAUGACGGAAAUUAUCAAAAACCUUUUGGGGGAAGGUUGUGGUUUUGGGAGGUGAUUUCAGGUAAAUAUUGUUAGUGGUAAAAAAAGGAUUAAGAUAUGAUGUUGUGAAGUCAACAAUCAACUUUUCUCAUUUGUGGUUAAAUUGUCGAGUCUUAAAACUUUCUCAAGGAAAUCCAACACGAUCUAUUGAUUGAGCCCACAAAAACACCUUUGUUAUCAUUGGUGAAUUUUGUUUAUCCUAAUUUAUUGACUGAUAUGUUAUGUCCUGAGUACUUUGAGUAUGGAGCAAUACUUUGUCCGACAACUGAAUCAGUAGAGCAAGUGAAUGAUUUUAUUUUAUCUCUGUUAAGUGGUAAAUAAAUAAAUUAUCUUAGUUCGGAUACACCUUGCCAAUUAGAUUAAGAUCAAGAAUUUAAAGUGAAUGGUUCACUUCUGAGUUCUUAAAUGAGAUAAAAUGUUCAGAGAUACUAAAUCAUCGCCUUCAUUUGAAAAUUGGCGUGCCUAUUAUGCUUUUGAGAAAUAUUGAUCAAACCAACGGUCUUUGUAAUGGAACAAGGUUGCAAGUUAUUGAUUUGAAGAAAAUGUUAUUUGUGCAAUAGUUCUAACAGGAACAAAUAUUGGUGAUAAAAUCUUUAUUUCAAUAAUGAAUUUGAUCCCUUUAGAUGUAGGUAUGCCAUUCAAAUUCUAGAGAAGACAAUUUCCAAUAACUUUAUGUUUUGCAAUGACAAUUAAGAAAAGUCAAAGUCAAUUAUUGACCAAAGUUGGUUUAUAUUUUUCACGUCCAAUUUUCACACAUUGAUAGUUGGAUGUAGCUAUUUAUAGAGUUAGAAAGAAAAAAAUUUAAAAAUUCUAACUCUUGAUGAAGAUGGGAAUGCAACAAACAAGAAAAAGAAAAUGUUUACACUGAAACUUUUGACAAUAUUUAAAAACAAUAGAAUUAUAUGAUAAACUUGGAAUAAUGGCUAAUUCUCCCUGCACCCAAUAUUUUUGAACAUGCAACUUUUAAAUUUGCUCCCUUGUAAUUAUAUUUUCUUAUGUGUGAUGUAGUAACAGUUGCCUUAUUUAAAAUGUUACUAAAUAACAUAUCAUUUAUAUCUGUUAUUUUUAUUCUGUUCUGAUUUUAUAUAUAUGUUAACGAAGUUGAGAAUUUUCUGAUUUUACAGGUCCAUGCACAAACCUAAUAUAAUGAUAUGAUAUUCAAUAUCAAGAGGUACUUGUCGUAAAACGGGGAAUAUGAGAGACUCCAUAGAAUGAAGAAAAAGUAUAAAGAGGAUUUACAAAUUACCCUUUCAAAUGCAGCUCCUCAGAAUUUCUUAAUGCCUUCACUGCAAAUGCAACCCAAAUAAGCUAAAGAAGUUAAUCAAACUAUACAUUAAGAGUUUCAAGAAAAUGAAACUCUGGAACAACAGAGCAACCCAUCUCAUGCUCAAUAGAAACAUCAAACUAUAUCUAACAAUAACUUAGAAAUCUUUGUCAACAAUUGAACGAACCCACUCCUAAAAUGCCAUUGAAAAUGUAAAUAAAUAAAUAAAAAUUAAAAAUGAGAAUUCAUAAUAAAAUUUCAUCGUGUUGAAACUUGUAAUUUAGAAGUAUUACGAUAAGCCAGUUUUGAUCCUCGCGAAUGAAAGACUAAUUAGCAGAAAGACUGUGCAAAAUUCCUUCCACUGGAUUCUUCGAUGUCAACUGAUUUGGUAUAAAGAGGACAUAUGCCGCAUUCUUUUAUUGUGAUAACUGAUUUCAACUCUCUCACAAGUAAUUUGCGAUUUGACCGAUUUGGCCGCAGAAAGGGAUCAUCAUAAUCAUGCGAACUGAUCUCAAAAGUGAAGCUGCGAGCAUCACACAGCCUAAGGCUCAUGCCGCUUGCCCUUAGGGACUCCAAGUUAAAUUUCCACACCAAUGUGUGAUCUUUAUCAACACCUCUCUCUUCAUCAUCCCAUCUGAAAUAGUUGUUUAACACAUCAUUAUUUGGAAUUAUCCGUGUGCCAUGAUCAUCAGAUUCAAAUUUUAGGCUGUAACCAAAGGAACCAUAUCUACCUUUAACAACUUUCGUAUCUAACACUUCAAAAACCACACACAAAGCGAAACCACUGAGCCUAUCAUCGCUUAAAAAACUUAAAUCUUCAUUUAUAGUCACUGAAUGUCCCUUCCCACGAAAAUGGAACCAACCAGGAACUGCACUCCCUGGAAAACAGAAGAACACACACCUAUAUCUAUCGUCGGUCAUCCUAAGCCUUGCAUCCUCCUCAAUGUUAGCACGACCACCUGAAUCCAGUUGUUGAGCAUUGGUCAAAAGAAAUUUGAAGAAACCCUCUUUGGAAUUUGACAAGUUUGGAACAAGAGAAUUGGACAUCACUCUUCUAAUGGAUGGGCAAUCCAAUGCCACUAGUUUUUUUAGAAAUGGUGGAAUCUCUGGGAUGCAUUCAAGCUUUUUGCAGUCGCUUAAAUCAAGCGAUUUCAAGCUUGAAAGAUGAGCAACGCUCUCAGGAAGGUUCACAAUUCCGCUAUCACACAGUGACAGUUCCAUUAAUGACGUCAAGCGACCGAUAUCUCUAGGGAUUUCUGUUAAUCUGGCACACCCCGAACAAUCAAGUUUAGAGAGAAGCUUGAGAUUAACAAUGGAGUUUGGAAGUGACUCCAGAUCAGUGCAUUUGCGGAGCUCCAGGGAUCGAAGAUUAACCAAAUUGGCAAAUGAGGAAGGCAGUUCUUUAACAGCCGUACAUAUCAAGUUAAUGUGAUCAAAAGUAGGAGCCGGCUCUGUGAUCUCUGGGAAGGUCCUCAGACUUGAGCAACCACACAAAUCAAGGUUCCUCAACUUCAAAUUGAAAAUGGUGCUUGGAAAAGUUUGUAGUGAACUACAGUGGGUAAGGUCUAACUUGCAUAGUCUGGUGAGGCUUCCAAUGGAAGAUGGAAUAAUCUCAAGAUUGAAGCAACUGCACAAACUCAGUUGUUGAAGCCCUACCAAACGGCACAAGGAUGAAGGUAGUGCCUGUAUGGCUGUGUCGUCUAAGAUGAGCACCACUAGAUCUUCCAACGUGUCCUGAAUCUGGGGUAAAUUUUCCAAUUUUGAGCAACCACGGAGUGAAAGUUGCUUUAGGAACUUCAUAUCAGAAAGGUCAAAUGGAAAGAUUGUAAGGGAAGAACAGUGAGAGAGAUCUAAGUGACAGAGCCUCUUGAGAUUUUGAAAGUUUGAGGGUACACCUUCGAGUAUUGUCGACACUUCACAUUGUGAGUAUAUAGUAUUAUUACCCACUUCUUCUUCGUUAUAUCUGUCAAAACUAAUUGAGGAAAUUUCACUGGAAGUUGGGAAAAUACCUUUAGCAUUAUGGAAUUUAACAGUCCCUCCCAAAAGUAAACUUGAGAAAGUUGGACGUUGACCCUCCAGUUUCACAUGAAGGUAUCUGGGUUGACUGGUUGAAAACAUUUCAAGCUCCUCACAGUGAGAAAGAAUGAUCAAUCCUGGAGAUGUGGAUAAAAUCUUGUUGGGAAUAUUUACACUUUUGAGAUGAUAACAAUGAUCUAAACAUAAACAACUGAGCUUGCUGAGGAAUAUCGAAGAGUGAACUUUAAUCAACUUUUGACAAUAACUCAGAAUUAGUUCUUCAAUAUUCGGUGACAGAGAAAGGUCUGGUAUUCUAGUAAGUUUCAGAGAAUGACUCAGGUUGAGCCUUUUCAAGUUGGGUAAAUUCUGCCACAAAAAGUAAAUGAAUCAGGUAACAAUGAAAAACUAAAAUAAAGUUUUAUGCAAUUUUAUCUAUUUUUCUUCGGUAAACUAUGAGCUACAUCAUCUAUCGAGUUUAUAUUUUACAUAAAACCACUGUUAAAAAAAUCACACUGUUAACUAACAAAAUUAUGGUCACUAUAAAUUUUAUAGUUAUUAUAAAAAUUCACAAAAUUUAACGUGUUUUUGUUCUCUACCUAAAAUUACAUCCUAAUAAUUUGAACCUAAGCUUAUUAUGUAUUGAAAAACUUACUAUAGUAAUUUAUAAUCCAUGACAAUGUCGAAAUACUUUAUACUAUGCAUGUUAAAAUUUGAUAAAAUGUCGAAAUACUGACAAAAUAAAAAUGGUGUUUUCCGAGAGUUAAAAUUAAACUUUAGUUAAAAUAAGUCCAUCUUUACAUAUUUUAUAAUUUGUUGUAUAUUAUAUUGAAGUUGAUGUUAUAAUAAAAAAAUGACUUAAUUAAUCGAAAAAUGUGGAGAAAACACAAAGAAAUUGCAAAUGCUUGUAUAAUUUAUUUUUAUCUUUGAAAGUUUAAAAGACAAAGGAACAUAGAUAACUUGAAAAACCUGAUCUCCUUCCCAGAGUUGUUCAAGACGGCAGCCUGGCAUUUCGAGGAUCACUAGAUUUUGUGGGCAAAAGUUUGGAGGCCAAAAUCUUUGCGGGAAAUCUCUCCAAUAAAGAAACUUUAGAGUGUCUGGCAGACCUACGAGAGAUGAUUCAAGAGACACAUUUGAUAUGUAUUCAGUUGAGUAGAGUAAAAACGUCCAAAGAUCAUCCAACUCUUUACGAGACACAUCUGAUAUGUAUUUAGUUUUAUUUUGCUCGUAUCUAGUAAUAUACACUGUAUUGCAUCUGACCCCUGAAAGUAAAUCAAUGUAAUUAGAAGAAAAAAACAUGAAAUGUUGCAUUGCAGGAUGUUUGAUGACAGCUCAGUGGUUUGCAAUUUUUCACAAAGUAAAUUAAUGACAGGUCAGUAGUUAUAUACCUUAUUCUUUCUUAAAACCUCACAAAUUUCCUCAGCAUUAAACAAUCGGCUGCGUUUUCCAGGAUGCUGAGGACACUCUUUACGAACAAUUUCUUUACCCAUUUCUUCUAUUAGAUCGUGCAUCACAAUUCUACCAUCAAUGACAGAUAUUAGGCCCCUAUCUUUCAGAAUAUCCAUUCCAAUCUUAGAAGAGAAACCAAAGUCAUCAAGUCUUUCUGCUACCUCAAUCUCCUCGUGACCUCUAUAAAAGCAAGCUAUGUCAAGAAAUAUAUUCUUCUCCUCCUCCUCCAGCCCAUCAUAACUUAAUUUUAAUACAUUGAAAAUACCAAGAUGUUGGCCCUUUUUCAACUUUUGCAACUCACUCUCCCAUGCUUCUCUUGUUCUGCCAUAAAGCAAUGACCCCAAAAUCUGGAGAGCUAACGGAAUCCCUUUUGCAUAUCUCAACACCUUUUCUGACAGGUCCAUGUAAGAUUUUUCUGCUGAAGAUUUUUGUUUAAAAGCAUGUAAACUAAAAAGUUUAUGAGAAUCAUCAAAAUUCAACUCCUUAACCUCGUAGAUAUCAUCAGCUCCAGCAUUUCUAAGCACUUGUCUGUCUCUACUGGUCAUAAUGAUUCUACUGCCCUGCCCAAAACUACCACUCCCUCCUAUUAAUUUUUUAAGUAUAGCUGAAUCGGUAACAUCAUCAAGAAUGAGGAUAGCCUUUGUCCGUUUGAGCCUUUCAUUGUAAUAUGAUAAAUCAGGGGAUUUCUUUAUCUCUUCCUUUAGAAGCACAGACAGAUAUUUUCUUCUGAUACUGUCUAUUCCAUCUCUUUGUAUUUUUUCUUGAACGUCUAAAACAAGGCUGCUGGAAUCAAACUGCACUGCCAAUUUCUGAUAUAUUUGAUUACAAAUUGUAGUUUUUCCUAUUCCUCCCAUGCCACAAAUUCCUAUGAUCCGAACAUCCGUUGACUCAAGAUGCAACAAGGACUGAAUUCCUUCAAUAUUUUUUUCAAUGCCGAUGAUUCCUUGAUCAUAACUGGUGGAAUAACGAUUCAAUUUUCUCAAAAUAUCUUCCACAAUUUCUUCAACAAGUGCGUGUUCUGGCCUGGCAGAUGAUUUAGAAAAUAAAGUAUAAGUAUUCAAGCACAAAAGCUAAAGUAAACUAAAGAAAAAUUUUACAGUAACCGUUUGUGACUUCUGAUACUAGGGAGCAGACUUGUAGGUACAAAGUUAAACUAUAAGAUCAGAUAUGGUUCAGAUCCAUGACCGACUAAGAGAAAUGAAAAAAGAAACACUUGAUUUAUGGUGAGAUGAACACAAUUUUAGUAAAUGAAAAGAGAUCCUGAUUAUCUAACAAAUAUAAUGACCUGGUGACUUUUGAAUCCCAGCCUGCAAGUUUAGCAGCUUCAGUUAGAGCAUCCUUCCAUCCUUGCACUUUAUCGUGCUUAAGGUGCUGCUCAUGCUUUUCGAAUGCUUCAUUGUAUCUUUGUUCCUGCUUCCUAAUAGUUGAUGGAUCCACCUUGUAGAAAACAGGUAUGACAUCCCUUCCAAAUCUCUUCUUGCAUUCAAGUAUCUUAGUGAGUUCAUUCAAGCACCAAGUGGAAGAUGCAUAGUCUUGGGAGAAAACGAUGACAUAAAUCUUUGAUUCUUCUAUUGCAGAGAGGAGAGCAGGUGAAAUUUCUUCGCCCCUGUUUAAUCUGUAAUCAAUAUACGCUUCAAUGUUCUUCCUCUGCAGCGCUGCAUAAAGGUGACUAAUGAAGUUGUCACGUGUGUCUUCCCCUCUGAAGCUGAGAAACACAUCAUGCUUUGUUAGAGAAGUAGACACGGGGAAUGAUGAAGAACUUCCUGACAUUGGAAUCAAUUUUCUCUCCUUUCUCUGCAAAUCUCAGAUUCCUUUGUUUGUACCAUUUCUACCUGAAGAAGUGUUUAAAUUUUCUCAAAAUACCUUGCACAGCGUGUUCUGGUCAGACAUAAAGAAAAAGACAAAUAUUAAGUUAAUAGAAUAGUCAACAAUUUAAAAAAUAAGUAUGAAAUAUAGAUAUAUAUCAUUAUCACGUGUGGAAGCUACGUCGUCUUGUAUUGGAUUUUCUAAUCUGCCUUUUAUCUUGUCUCAUUCUUCUUUAUCUUUUUUCUCUCAUCUCUCUUGCUUACGAUUUCUUUGCCUUUAUUCAGAAAUUUUAUUUAUAAUAAACCUUCAAUAAUAUUUGUACUUUCUAGCAUAUAGAAUACUUAAUGGAUCCUUUUCUGAUUUUUCUUUUCUAAAGUGCAAUUGAUAUUUUAAAUGUUUUUCUAUUUAAUUUUCCUUUCUUAAUGACACAUAAAAUGGUUCAGUGCACAAUUAAUUACUCUCACCUUAGAUUUCAUUCAUCUCAUUCCAUUUCCACACUCAAAUCAUUCUCACAUUUGUUUCUACCUGUUUCACAAAGUUUUAGUUAAAAUAUGGAAAUUAAUGUUCAAGAACCCUACUUAAUAUUAAUAUUCAACAAUUUAAAAUAUUAAAAUGCAAAUUAAUCUUUCUUAAUAAUGUCAUUUUUAUGUAAAAAAUAAAAUGUAGUUUAGUCAUUUAUACUUAGAUGGAUAAAGAUGGUUUUAGAAAAAAAAAUGCAUUUUAUUUCAAAGGUUAUCUAAGCUCUGAACUCAUUUAUGAAUUAAUAAUAAUAAAUAAUAUGUAAUUGUAUUCCAAUACCAUAUAAUUUUUUUUAUUGGGUGCGUUUCUGAUGAAUUAAUUAAUGCACUCUAGGGACAAUGAUCGCUCUAGUAUUUGAUUUUUUUAUUUAUUUUAAUGUUGAAAUUAUAGCUAUUUAGUACAGAUACUAUUGACACCGACACAGAUACGACACAGACACAGAGAUACUUAAAAUCUCUAAAAUGUAAGAUACAGAGACAUUAAUCUAUAUAUUAUAUAAUUAUGAAUUAUAUAAAUUAACAAUAAAGACUUAUGUGCACAAGUAUUUUGGAGAUUAUUUUUUAAGCAGAAAUAUGUUUUUCAUGACUGUUUCACAAAGAUUUGUUUCUUAUUUUUAUAAUCAUAAUAACAAUUUAUACCAUAAAGUUUGAAUUUUAGAAAAUUAAUGUAUUUUUUCUUUUUAAAAUUCCGUUAGAAUCGUACUAAAAUUGUAAAAAAUCUAACAAAUACAUUUUGAAUUGGACAUUUCACAAAUACAUGUCCUACCAGUAUCAUACGAAUGUAAACAAAAUUCUUUCUUCAUAUGCCGCAUUCUUUUACUGUGAUAACUCAUUUCAACUCUCUCACAACUGAUUCGUAAUCUGUGGGAUGCAUUAAAGCCUUUUGCAGUUAAAUCAAUAGUAUAUGAUGAUGUGAAUGUUAUUUAUAUACUAAAUAUAAUCACAUAGUAACUUCAAAUUUGAUAAGGUACAACAUGUUACCAUAUCUCUUUUAAUUUCUUUUAUUUCAUUAUAUAUUUAGGUGUAUUUAAUUUCUUUUUAUUUCAUUGUGUAUUUAGGUGUAUUACGUAAAAUAUAUAAUUAAAAAGAAAGAAGAAUAAUGUUAUUUUUAAAUUUAAAGAAUGACAUAUAGAAAUAAACAAGCUAUUUUGAAAUUUUUAGAUUUUACAAAACAUUACAUUUUGAUUUUAAUAUUUAUAAAAUAUUUUUUAAUUUCAUAUUUAAAACACAACACUUAGUUGAGUGUGUUCCUUAGUUACUUACCAAAUAACAACAUACAUCUUAUCGGGUCUUUUUGCGACCCGACCCAAACUCAUCUCGAUCCUAGUAGGGUUCGCAUCAUCUUCAAUUGAGGAGUAGAUUUGUCAGGAGGAAAAUAAAUUGAUUUAUAAGAACAUGUGAAGUUGUUUAGAUUGAGGAAUAAUAGAUGGAUUUUGAUUAUGAUUUAUGGUAAGUUUAAAAAAAAUAGAUUUGUUUCUUUUAACAUUUUUUGUAUUAUAAUUAUUUGCUGGCUGAAUUGUUUUGAGUUAACAUGUUUUCUUGGGGUAUGAUAUUGUGAGGUUUUAUUACAUGCAGGUACGUGAAUAUUUUUUUUAUUCUAGUUGUAUAAAUCAGGAAAAAAUGUUUUUCACAAUAUAAUUAUAAUAACCGUUUAACAACCUAAAUAAUAAUAAAAUAUUAACUCAUAUUAUUUAAUUAAAUUAUUAAAUAAAAAGUAGUAAAACUGAUUGUAGGAUGGGAAUAUGAUUAUUUUUAACUGCUAGCUCCUCAUUAUUCUUUUAUAAUAAAAAACACACUAGUAGGUGUUGAAAAUCGUAAUAUAACAAACAAGUUUUGACACACGUAGGUUUGGCAAUUGUUUUAAUAGCUGAAAAUAGUAAAACAAUUUUUAAUUACCACAAACUGCAUCUUAAAUCAUAAAAAAUAGCAUUUUUUAGUUCAUAUAUAAUAACAUUUCCAUAAAUAAAUCUCCCGCCGCCAUUGAUAUUAAUCAUUAAUAAUUUUAGAUAAUAUUUUUUACUAUAAAACAUUUAAUUGAGAUUGAAUUUUUAAUUCACACUUUUUGGUCAAAGAAUAAUAUAUUUCAUUUUUUUAUUUAUUAAAUAUUUUGUAUAAUGCUGAGAAAAAAAAAUCUCACACACACACACACAUAUAUAUAUAUAUGAUCCCUAUGUCCUACAAGUACAAUAUAACAUCGUUAGUAUAAUGAAUAAAAAUAAUGAGUAUUCAAAGUCGUGUAUUUACGUAAAAGAAUAACAUGAUUUUUAAAAGAACUCACAUUAUCAGUUUAAAUUUUGACGAUAAAAUACAUUAAUUAUAUAUAUUUAUUCAAAAUUUCAAUUAUAUUAUGCAUUAAUGGUUUUAUGCUUUUAGAGGAAUCAGAGAAACUUAGAAAAGCUUAAUGAAACCCUAUGAAUAAAGGAGAUGUAAAAGAAAGAGAAAAAGGAAGUGAGAAAAGAUGAUAAUUAAUAAACACCCACUCUUCAUAACAUAGAGUCUUUAAACCUAUAUUCCCUCAAACAGCAUUUAUAAGUUAUUAUCACCCACAUGGAAUAAGGUGCCUCAAUGUGAACAAACCAAGAUCAGUAAGAAAUAUGAGGUUCAAAUAACGAAGCUGAGAAUUUUCUGGUUUUACAGCUCCAUGCACAAACCUAAUACAAUGAUAUGAUAUUCCAUAGGAUGGAGAAAAGUAUGAUAUGAAGAGGAUUUACCAAUUACCCUUUCGAAUGCAGCUCCUCAGGAUUCCAUCAUGCCUUCACUGCACAUGCAACCCAAAUAUGCUAAAGAAGUUAAUCAAACCCAAAUAUAAAGAAUUUCUAGAGAAUGCAACUCUGGGACAACAGAGUACCCCAUCUCAAGCUGAACAGAAACAUUAAACUAUAUCUAACAAUAACUUAGAAAUCUUUGUCAACAAUGAACGAAUCCAACCGUAAAAUGCCAUUGAAAAUGUAAAUAAAACAAAAUAAAUUAGAUAUGAGAAAUUCAUGAUAAAAUUUCAACACUUGUAAUGUAGAAGCAUUACGAUAAGCCAGUUUUGAUCCUCACCAAUGAAAGUCUAAUUAGCAGAAGAGGAAGAGACUAGUUGACUGGGUAGCUUUCUGCAAUGCCUAUUUUAAGGUUACGCUUCCGGCAAAAAUAUAAUAGAAGACUGCUCUCAUGUCAAAGUUUCUCAUACAUAGAACAACCCGCAAAAGAGAUUAAACAUUCCAAAAGAUGUCUCAACAGAAAUGAAAUGAGAUCCUAACAACUUGUUGGGAAAGUACUAUUUUGCCUUCAAUUCCAUUACUUCCUUUUGCCUUUAAGAGUGCAGUCAUAAUCAUCAAAAUACUUAGACUUUGUGAUAUGUCUUUUGGGCUUGCUAUUCAUCUUUUGUUGCCUCCUCUUGAGCCAUAACACUUUUGGCCUUCCUCUUCCUAUAUUCCCUUGUGUCUCUUGAAGACUGUGCAACAUUACUUCGACUGGAUUAUUCAAUGUGAACAGCACCACCAUAUUCAUCAUCUUUCUUUUUGGAAUAAAGAGGGCAUAUGCCGCAUUCUUUUACUCUGAUAUCGGGCCACCAAUGGCUGAUCUCAAAAGUGAAGCUGCGAGCAUCACAGAGCCUAAGGCUCAUGCCGCUUGCCCUUAGGGACUCCAAGUUAAAUUUCCACACAAAUGUGUGAUCUUUAUCAAGAAAUCUGCCUGCAUCCGUCAAGUUUAACACAUCAUUAUUUGGAAUGAUCUGUGUGCCAUCAUCAUCAGAUUCAAAUUUUAGGCUGUAACCAAAAGAACUAUAUCUACCUUUAAUAUCAUUCGUAUCUAACACUUCAAAAACCACGCACAAAGAGAAACCAGUGAGCCUAUUAUCGCUGCAAAAACUUAAAUCUUCAUUUAUAGUCACUGAAUGUCCCUUCCCACGAAAAUGGAACCAACCAGGAACUGCACUCCCUGGAUAACAGAAGAACACAGACCUAUAUGCAUCGUCGGUCAUCCUAAGCCUUGCAUCCUUCUCAAUGUUAGCACGACCACCUGAAUCCAGUUGUUGAGCAUUGGUGAAAUGAAAUUUGAAUACACCCUCUUUGGAAUUUGAGAGGUUCCGAACAAGAGAAUUUGACAUCACUUUUCUAAUGGAUGGGCAAUCCAAUGCCACGAGUUGUUUUAGAAAUGGUGGAAUCGGUGGGAUGCAUUCAAGCUUUUUGCAGUCGCUUAAAUCAAGCGAUUUCAAGCUCGAAAGAUGAGCAAUGCUCUCAGGAAGGUUCACGAUUCCGCUAUCACGCAGUGACAGUUCCAUUAAUGACGUCAAACGACCAAUGUGCCUUGGGAUUUCUGUUAAUUUGGCACACCCCGAACAAUCAAGUUUAGAGAGAAGCUUCAGAUUAACAAUGCAGUUUGGAAGUGACUCGAGAUCAGUGCAUUUGCGGAGCUCCAGGGAACGAAGAUUAACGAAAUUGGCAAAUGAGGAAGGCAGUUCUUUAACAGUCGUAGAUGUUAAGUUAAUGUGAGCAAAAGUAUGAGCCGACUCCGUGAUCUCUGGGAAGGUCCUCAGCCUUGAGCAACCACGCAAAUCAAGGUUCCUCAACUUCAAAUUGAAAAUGGUGCUUGGAAAAGUUUGAAGUGAAUUACAGUGGGCAAGGUCUAACUUGCAUAGUCUGGUGAGGCUUCCAAUGGAAGAUGGAAUAAUCUCAAGAUUGAAGCAACUGUGCAAACUCAGUUGUUGAAGCCCUACCAAACGGCACAAGGAUGAAGGUAGUGCCUGUAUGGCUGUGUCGUCUAAGAUGAGCACCGCUAGAUCUUCCAACGUGUCCUGAAUCUCGGGUAAAUUUUCCAGUUUUGAGCAACCACUGAGACAAAGUUGCUUUAGGAAUUUCAUAUCAGAAAGGUCAAACGGAAAGAUUGUAAGGGAAGAACAGUCAGAGAGAUCUAAGUAACAGAGGUUCUUGAGACUUUGAAAGUUUAAGGGCACACCUUCCAAGAGACUGUUGAACACCUCUGAGUCUUCUGAGUCUGUAGCAUUAUUAGCCACUUCUAUAUUAUAUCUGUCAAAAGUAAUUGACAAAAUUUCACUGCUUGGGGAAAUUUCACUGGAAGUUGGGAAAUUUAUCUCUUUCGUCAUAUCCAGUUCCUGACGCUCCAGUAUGACAUGAGGGAGAAAUUUAUCUUCAUGUUUACUGAUUGAAAACAUAUUAAGCUUCCGACAAUGGGAAAGAGUAAUCCAUCCUGGUGAUGUGGAUAAAAUGUUGCUCGGAAUAUUUACACUAUUCAGAUCAUCACAAUGAUCUAAACAUAAACAACUGAGUUUGCUGAGGAAUAUCGAAGAGUGAAUUUCAAUCAACUUUUUACAAUAACUCAGAAUUAUUUUUUCAAUAUUUGGUGACAUAGAAAGGUCUGGUAUUCUAGCAAGUUUCCAAGAACGUGUCAGGUCGAGCCUUUUCAAGUUGGGUAAAUUCUGCCACAAAAAGUAAAUGAAUCAGGUAACAAAUAAUAACUACUUUAUCUAUUUUUCUUCCUAUUUAAACUAUUAGCUACUACUAUUGAGUUUAUAUUUUACAUUACUUAAAAACCACUGUUAAAAAAGCCACACUGUGGACUAACAAAAUUAUAUUUUAAAAUAUUAUUAAAGAUAAAAUAUGAAGAUAGGGUAAUUAAAUUAAAUAUAAUUUUUAUUUUUCAGAAAUGAUGAAAAUUAUAAUUAAAUUAACUAAAUUAUAUAAAAUUCCAUUUUAUUUACAUAACUCCUUUUCAUAUUAAAAAACUAUAUAAGAUCUUGAAACUAUAAUUAAUAUCUUAAAAAUUUAAAUAAUAAUAAUUAUUUCUACUCAUCCUUAAUUUUUGUUGGUGAAAUCUUGAUUUUUGGGAUAAUAUCACUUAAACUUAAGAAAUAUUUGACAUUAAUGAACUCUAAACAAAUUUAUAUAAGAAAUCAAGACAUCACUUUCAAUCCGAAAUCUUAAACUAAUAGGUUUAUGGAUUUUCUUUAUAUGUUGUUCAUCUUACCAAUUUGAACCCAAUGCGAGACUUUCAACUCUAAGAGAUGAAGUGGUGUACUUUAUGCUUCUAGGACUUGUUAGAUAUUGAAACAUGUACCAUUGCUAAAAUGUUUGAAUGAAGGAGAAGUCAAAGUCUCUCUCCUUUAGAGAUAUUCGCUCAAGUGGCAAGAGGUUGAUUAAGCAAGAGAGAGAUCGUAUUAAUUCUCUCUUCUAUGCAAUUGUUGUCGUUCAAACAAUGUGGAAUCAUUCAAGCAAAGAAAUCUUCUUUUGGGUUAGGAAACAAGGUUUUUCAAGCGAGAUAAACUCGUCUAAAGAAUUUAACUCUAGUAGUGAAAUGUUGUUGCCAUGAUUUAGCCAAGUGUUUGUAUCUAUGAGGCUAAUGAUGAUGAUGACGAUGAUAAGAUGCAUGAAUGUGUAUACACAAGUGUAUGAUAUACCUCAUGUUAUAUAUUGUAUGUGAUUCAAUUGAUGACCAUUUAUUUUUAGGCCAUUUAUAUGUAUAUUUUGGCCCUUUUAUGAGUAUGUGACGAGAUAUACCUAAGAUUGUAUUAUGAUCCUAAUGAGUCGAAGUAUCAAACACAAAACUCAUUAUGGAAAAAAAAAGAUAUUUUGUGCAUCAGUUAUGAUAUGAUCACAACAAUUAAAGCAUGUGUGAACGGUUAAUAUUGUUCUUAAUAAGAAAACAAAUAAUAUUGUAUGUGACAUUAGAGAUGUCAAAUAGGUUUAGAAAAUUAUUAAGUUUAAUUAUCUUUUUAGUCUUUAUAUUAAUGACCAAAAGUCAAUUCAGAUUUUUAGAAAGUUCAAUAUGAUUUAAUUUUUUAAAAAACAAUUCAAUGUGAUUCCUUCUAGUAUAUUUCCCUUAUUAAAAUAUUUUUAUCUUAAUGAUUCUGCCACUGUUAAGUUAUAUGUGUUGUUAUCACAUUGAAUUGUUUUAAAAAAAUUUGGAACCACCACAUUAAAUUGUUUUAAAAAGUUAGUACUAAAUUGAACUUUUGAAAAUUGGGAGAAUGAAAUUAAAUUUUGUCUAUUAAUACAGGGACAAAAAAUAAUUGAAUCAAAUAUUUUACUAUUUUUGUGAUGUAUAUUUAUAUAUAAAUAAUUUUGAGAAUUUAGAGUUACAAUGUGUUAUAUCAUAUAUAUAUAAUUCUUUUUGGUAAUGUAUCCUGUAGUUGUAAGCAAGUAUGAUUAUAUUAAGUGGGGCGUUUCAAAUAGUGGAGACUACGCAUAUACAAAUAUCUCUUAUAAAGUAAGAAAACAAAACAAUCGUUACUCAAGAAGAUCAUGCAAUGCAUCACAGACAACAUGGGAGAUAUAUAUCAACAAUAAUAUGAGUAAAUAAUACAUUCAUGGGCCAUUAGACGAUAUGCCUAAAAAAAAUAUGCAAACUAUUAAAUUUAUAAUUAUUUUUAAUUAGAAACAUGCUGAGUAUGACUCUUAUGAUAUAUGUAUAACUGUGUGCUUCAAAUAAAAGAAAUUUCAAAUCGAAUAAUGUGGAGAAGGCACAAAGGAAUUGCAAAUGAAAACCUGUAGAUGUAUAAUACACAAAACAUGCUUGUCUAAUUUAUUUUUAUCUUUGAAAGUUUAGAACACAAAGGAACAUAGAUAACUUGAAAAACCUGAUCUCCUUCCCAGAGUUGUUCAAGAUCGCAGUAUGGCAUUUCGAGGAUCACUAGAUUUUGUGGGCAAAAGUUUGGAGGCCAGAAUCUUUGAAGGAAACCGUUCCAAUAAAGAAACUUUAGAGUGUCCGGCAGACCUACAAGAGAUGAUUCAAGAGACACUUUUGAAUUCAAUCUAGGCAUGUAGACCAUAAGCAUCAUAAGAUUGUCCAUCUUUUCGAAACUUUGUGCAUGUACUACAGCAUCUUUUACUUUGUUCGUAUGAUAUUGAUAUACACUGUAUUGCAUCUGACCCCUGAAAGUAAAUCAAUGUAAUUAGAAAAAAAAACAUGAAAUGUUGCAUUUCAGGAUGCUUAAUGACAGCUCAGUAGUUUUCUAUUUUUCACAAAGUAACAACAGCAUAUACCUUGUUCUUUCUUAAAACCUCACAAAUUUCCUCAUCAUUAAACAAUCGGCUGCGUUUUCCAGGAUGCUGAGGACACUCUUUACGAACAAUUUCUUUACCCAUUUCUUGUAUUAGAUCGUGCAUCACAAUUCUACCAUCAAAGACAGAGAUUAGACCCCUAUCUUUGAGAAUAUCCAUUCCAAUCUUAGAAGAGAAACCACAGUCAUCAAGUGUUUCUGCUACCACAGUCUCCUCUUGCCCUCUAUAAAAGCAAGCUAUGUCAAGAAAUAUAUUCUUCUCCUCCUCCUUGAGCCCAUAAUAACUUAAUUUUAAUACGUCGAAAGUUCCAAGAUCUUGGCCGUUUUCCAACUUUUGCAACUGACUCUCCCAUGCUUCUCUUGUUCUGCCAUAAAGCAAUGACCCCAAAAUCUGGAGAGCUAACGGAAUUCCUUUUGCAUAUCUCAACACCUUUACUGACAGGUCCAUGUAAGCAAUUCCUUCUGAAGAUUUUUGUUUAAAAGCAUGUAAACUAAAAAGUUUCAGAGAAUCAUAAAAAUUCAACUCCUUAACUUCGUAGAUAUCAUCAGCUCCAGCAUUCUUAAGCACUUGUCUGUCUCUACUGGUCAUAAUGAUUCUACUGCCCUGCCCAAAACUAUCACUCCCACCUAUUAAUUUUUGAAGUUGAGUUGAAUCGGUAACAUCAUCAAGAAUGAGGAGAACCUUUGUCCGUUUGAGCCUUUCAUUGUAAUAUGGUAAAUAAGAGGAUUUCUCUUCCUUUAGAAGCUCAGACUGAUAUUUUGUUCUGAUACCGUCUAUUCCAUCUCUUUGUAUUUUUUCUUGAACGUCUAAAACAAGGCUGCUGGAAUCAAACUGCAAUGCCAAUUUCUGAUAUAUUUGAUCACAAAUUGUAGUUUUUCCUAUUCCUCCCAUGCCACAAAUUCCUAUGAUCCGAACAUCCGUUGACUCAAGAUGCAACAAGGACUGAAUUCCUUCAAUAUUUUUUUCAAUGCCGAUGAUUCCUUGAUCAUAACUGGCGGAAUAACGAUUCAAUUUUCUCAAAAUAUCUUCCACAAUUUCUUCAACAAGUGCGUGUUCUGGCCUGGCAGAUGAUUUAGAAAAUAAAGUAUAAGUAUUCAAGCACAAAAGCUAAAGUAAACUAAAGAAAAAUUUUACAGUAACCGUUUGUGACUUCUGAUACUAGGGAGCAUACUUGUAGGUACAAAGUUAAGCUAUUGUGUGAUAUGGUUCAGAUCUAUGACCGACUAAUAGAAAUGAAAAAAGAAGCACUUGAUUUAUGGUGAGAUGAACACAAUUUUAGUAAAUGAAAAGAGAUCCUGAUUAUCUAAUAAAUAUAAUGACCUGGUGACUUUUGAAUCCCAGCCUGCAAGUCCAGCAGCUUCGGUGAGAGCAUCCUUCCAUCCUUGCACUGUGUCGUGCUUAAAGUGCUGCUCAUGCUCAUUGAAUGCUUCUUUGUAUCUUUCUUCCUGCUUCCUAAUAGUUGAUGGAUCCACCUUGUAGAAAACAGGUAUCACAUCCCUUCCAUAUCUCUUCUUGCAAUCAAGUAUCUUAGUGAGUUCAUCCAAGCACCAUGUGGAAGAUGCAUAGUUUUUGGAGAAAACGAUGACAUAAAUCUUUGAUUCUUCUAUUGCAGAGAGGAGUACAGGUGAAAUUUCUUGGCCCCUGAGUAAUCUGUAAUCAAUAUAUGCUUGAAUGUUCUUCCUUUGCAGCGCUGCAUAAAGGUGACUAAUGAAGUUGUCACGUGUGUCUUCCCCUCUGAAGCUGAGAAACACAUCAUGCUUUGUUAAAGAAGCAGACAUGGCCAAUGAUGAAGGGUUUCAAUGUUCUCUGCAACUCUCAGAUCCCUUUGUUUGUAAGCAACUUCCAUAUAUUCUAUUAGGAAGGAAAAUAUAUAUUUCUACCAUUCCUACCACAAAUUGAAAAAGCCUUUCAAUUUUCUCAAAAUAUCUUUCACAGCUGUGUUCUGUCAGAUACGAAACAUUGAGUCAAUGGAAGAGUCAACAAUUGGCAGAAUAUUAUGGUGUGUAGCUUUAUACCAUUCUUACAAUAUUUGAUUGGUUGAAUAUAUACAAUAUGACUAAUGAACUUUUUUCUUUUCCGUAUUCCACGAUAAUUCCCUAGGCACCCUAUUAUACACUUUCUUAUCAACGGAAACCAUGUCUGUCCUUUUAUAGUUUUAAUCCUAUAAUAUCUUUCCAUUAAUCAUCAUUAUCACUCUUCAACCUUCAUAUCAAGUGUAUUGAUUUCAUACUUCAUCAGCUAGACAUAAUAAAAUCUCAAUAAUCUUUUAUACUGUCAACAUUUAUAAAAAAUAUUUCCUUCAAUAAUAUUUGUACUUUCUAGCAUAUAGAAUACUUAAUGGAUUCUUCUGUGAUUUUUCUUUCCUAAAGUACAAUUGAUAUUUUAACAGAUGCCGAAAGGUCUUGAAUAUGAGGCUGUUUCGAAAUGAAAAUUGGGGUAAAGCAUUUUCAAGUUAACAAGUUUUGUUGGGUGAGUGAGUGAUCAGUGCUAGCAUUUUCAAUCUCAGUUAUAGAAUGUAAAGAUUUACACAUUUAUUUGCUGAUUAAUAAUUUAUUUAUUGAAUUAAAUGUUUUAACAGUGAGUAUGGAUUCUUGAAUGAAUGUAAUCAUGGUGUAGAAUGUACAUAGUACAUAUAGUGAGUUGGAUUGAAAUGUUGAACACGUUUUCCUCUGCAAAGAUUCAGGAUAUUUAUGAACUUGCUAUAAAUUGUUUUAACUUUUCUCUGCAACUCUCAGUCCCUUUGUUUCUACCAUUUUGUUUUUGAAAAGCCUUUCAAUUUUCUCAAAAUAUCUUUCACUGCUGUGUUCUGUCAGAUACGAAACAUUGAGUCAAUGGAAGAGUCAACAAUUCGUAGAAUAUUAUAUUAUGGUGUCAAUAUUUAAUAAAUUUAUUUAUUUCUUUAACAUAUUUUAGAAAAUAACCAGUAAACAUAAAACUUUUAGUAUGACUAAAAGAAUAAAGAUAGUGUAAGAAUAACAGGAAUAACAUUACUACAAAUAACAAUAUAUUAAUAUUAAUAUGUUUCUUAAUAAAUUUUACACCCACUGUCUAUUUAUAAAUUAAUAUAUUAUAAACAUCUAUUGAUUUUUUGUGGGUAGCUUAUUUCUGUAACAUUUUAAAUUAAUUUUUUAGAUUUUACAAAACAUUACAUUUUGAUUAUAAUAUUUAGGACUGUGAUGCAAUUUCUGCAAUGAAGGCUGGCAGACUAAGUUUCUCCAAGCCCAAUUAAUACUGGGUUGAAAAUUCUGAGAAGAGGGUGAGUAUGAUGCUGCGGUCAUGAUCUAUGUAUUAAAGUGUUAAGGCAUGGGUUUGGUUGACAGGACAAUACUGGUUUUUCAUUGCUACUACUUAAUAUGAUUCUUUCUUACUGCUAUAUGAAUUUGCUGUCAAAUAGCAGUAAAUAAAAGACUUCAAAUAAAGCAUGUGUUUAUCAUACAUGGACUAAUGCAGCAGUUUUAGUAGAAGGGGCUAAUAUGAUUUUAAUCUAGAACAAGAUGGCUAAACCCAAAGAUGGUGGGAAUAAUAUCCUCAAAUCAAUUGUUUUGGUUUUCAGUGUAAUGUCAUUUGUAAGUAUCAAAAUUUGUUUGUUAUCACAUUGGAAGGUAGUAUCUGUCAUGAAAUUUGUGGAAGACCUUUACCUAUGUUUGCUUUGGGUCUGUUUUACGCCCUCUCGAAUUAAGUAAAUUUUUAAUUGCCAUCAUGAAAUUAGGCUAAAUAUGUGUAGUUUUGAGCACUUUCUUUCUUCCAUUUCAAUUCAUAGUUUCAUACAUAUUCAAUAUCAUGUGGGAAUUAAGUUCUUGCUUUUAAGGUGAAUAACAGUUUGUAUUCUUGCAGAAAACUAUUUUCUAAUGCAUAUAAAUUUCAUUUUCUAUUUUCAGCAUUGGAUUAUGUUAUGUAAUUUUUCCUUUGUAUUAUACAGAGUAGGAUUUUAAUGUUUCUACUGAACAGUGCUAUCUUUUUUCGUCCAUAUUCUGAUUUUGUUCAAUUUUUUUCAGUAUGUGCCACAUGCAGAUCAGAUGUAAGGAAUUUUCUAAAUUUUUUUUCAAGCUUUCUUGUUUGCUUAAAGUUUUCUGUAAGUAUUUAACUGUCUUAAGUUGUUAAUGAGGACUAAGGACUGAAAAAGAGAAUUAGCCAUGACAUGGUGGCAUUAUCCUUCUUCAAAACCAUUAGUUUUUUUUCCUACAAAGAUACAUGUCAAGAAAGCAAACCAGGAACAAAAGUGAUGUUUAUGAUUGCUUUCUCUCUUGUUUACUUGCUUUCUUUUUGUUGGACAAUUGUCUUAAUUGCAUUCACACCUAACCUGCAGUAGUUUCAGUCCCUUUGGGGUUGUCAUAAUUGCAGCCUCAAGAGUGGUGGUGUAGUCCAACAUCAACCAGUGAUAUAGUUCAAAUAUAGCAUAUACAUGAAAGUCGUGUUGAUAAUCAAAGGUUGCUUCAUCUUAACUAAUAACAUGUAAAUGUCAUUUGAAUGGUUAAAAAGGAAUUCACCAGUGUAACACAAAAUGAAUGGAUUGCUUGGUUAUGUGUCAACUGUUGUACUUUUUUUGAGUUGCUUGAAAAUAAUUAAAAUUUGUUUUCAUCUAGAUCUUGGUUUUUUCCUAUGAUCAAAUCUCGAUUUAUUUCUGUGCAGAACUUUCUUGUGGACAUAAAAGGACCAGCUAUAGCAUUUUUACCGGUGCUUGCAUUUGAAGGAGGAACUAGAAGAAAUAUACCUAGGUUUGAGGUGUGUAUAAAUUAUUUUUGAUGUAUUUCGUGAUGUAGAUGUAAAAUAAUGCAAUACUUUGUUUUUAGUUUCAAUGUUACUCUUUAUCUGCAGGUUGGAAACAUAUCUUGAUGAAAUAUAGAAACAUUUUUAUUCAUAAUAUAUAUAUAAGGAUUACACAUUCAUAAUUAUUUCUUUCUGUCGUAGCAUUGUCUACCUCAAAUCACUGCAACUUUCUGUUGUUGGUAUAAAAAUACAAUAUUUUAAUCCCAGUUUUGAUAGCCUCUAUUCUUCAGUGGUUGAGAUAUUUUUUAUAAGAAUUUAGAAGUUCUGAGAUAUUUAUGAUAAGAAUUUCAAGUUCUUUGUUACUAGCAGUUUAAUGGUUAUAUCAUUUUUGUUCUCUGGAAAAUAUCUUAUACAAAAUCGGUACUUAGAUUUGGUAUUUAUAUUGUUCAUAUGUAGAAAUCUAAUACUAGCAAAUUUUGUCUAAUUUAAAAGCAAUUACAUUCUACUCUUUGGAAUAUGUUCUGGCCUGCUUUUAUGAAUUAUUUGAAAAUUUGUAAUUAUAAAAUUUAGUCUUUGAAAUUAUAAAUUUAAUAGAGAAGCAUCCAUACUAAACUUUUAUAUUAUAAAUUGUCAGUUUUAUAUUGAAAACAUAUCCCCUUUAGUAUAAGACUUAAAGGAGAUGUCUUUUGGUAUAAAAACUGAAAUAAAAAAUAUUUUAACUAUAUGGGUCAAAUGGAUGAUUAAACUUAUAAAAUGUACAAUUAAACUUAUAAAUUAUAAUAAACGAUACUUUAAUUUUAAACUAUAUUGAACUUUUAUUAAUGUUCUCGCUUUUCUUUAAAAGCUAUUGAACUCUAUCUAACAAUAACUUAAAAAUGAGAAAUUCAUGAUAAAAUUUCAACACUUGUAAUCUAGAAGUAUUACGAUAAGCCAGAAGAGGAAGAGACUAGUUGACUGGGUAGCUUUCGGCGUUCCUCUUCCUAUCUUCCCCUGUUUCUCCUGAAGAGUGUGCAACAUUGCUUCCACUGAAUUCUUCAAUGUCAUUUUCUGAUGCAGAAUAGUCAACAGCACCACCAUAUUUAUCAUCUUUCUUUUUCGUAUAAAGAGGGCAUAUGCCGCAUUCUUUUAUUCUGAUACCUGAUUUCAACUCUCUCUCAACUGAUUCGUAAUCUGGCCGAUUUGGCCGCAGAAAGGGAUCAUACGGACUGAUCUCAAAAGUGAAGCUGCGAGCAUCACACAGCCUAAGGCUCAUGCCGCUCGCCAUUAGGGACUCCAAGUUAAAUUUCCACACGAAUGUCCCUUCACCAUCCCAUUUGAAAUAGCUAUUUAACACACCCUUAUAUGGAAUGAUCUGUGUGCCAUCAUCAUAUUCAAAUUUUAGGCUGUAACGAAAAGAACCAUAUCCACCUUUAAUAUCUAACACUCCAAAAGCUACACACAAAGCGAAACCAGUGAGCCUAUCAUCGCUGCAGAAACUUAAAUCUUCAUUUAUAGUCACUGAAUGUCCCUUCCCACGAAAAUUGAACCAACCAGGAACUGCACUCCCUGGAAAACAGAACAACACACACCUAUAUGUAUCGUCGAUCAUCCUAAGCCUUGCAUCCUCCUCGAUGUUAGCACGAGCACCUGAAUCCAGUUGUUGAGCAUUGGUGAAAUGAUAUUUGAAGACACCCUCUUUGGAAUUUGACAAGUUUGGAACAAGAGAAUUUGACAUCACUCUUCUAAUGGAUGGGCAAUCCAAUGCCUCGAGUUGUUCUAGAAAUGGUGGAAUCGGUGGAAUGCAUUCAAGCUUUUUGCAGUCGCUUAAAUCAAGUGAUUUCAGGCUUGAAAGAUGAGCAAUGCUCUCAGGAAGGUUCACGAUUCCGCUAUCACGCAGUGACAGUUCCAUUAAUGACGUCAAGCGACCGAUGUGUCUUGGGAUUUCUGUUAAUUUGGCACACCCCGAACAAUCAAGUUUAGAGAGAAGCUUCAUAUUAACAAUGGAGUUUGGAAGUGACUCGAGAUAAGUGCACUCUUGGAGUUCCAGGGAUCGAAGAUUAACCAAAUUGCCAAAUGAGGAAGGCAGUUCUUUAACAGCCGUACAUGUCAAGUCAAUAUGAGCAAAAGUAUGAGCCGGCUUCAUGAUCUCUGGGAAGGUCCUCAGCCUUGAGCAACCACCCAAAUCAAGCUUCCUCAAUUUCAAAUUGAAAAUGGUGCUUGGAAAAGUUUGAAGUGAAUUACAGUAGGUAAGGUGUAACUUGCAUAGUCUGGUGAGGCUUCCAAUGGAAGAUGGAAUAAUCUCAAGAUUCAAGCAACUGUGCGAACUCAGUUGUUGAAGCCCUACCAAACGGCACAAGGAUGAAAACUUAUUUUAUUUUUGCUGUUCAUGCAUAACAUUAACAAAUAUUGACAUGAGAGAUUGUGUUUGUAGGCUUCUAAGCUCACCAACGUGUCCCGUUCUUGAUGCUUUAGGGAAGAAAAUUUCCUUUGAGAUUGCAAAAGGACUCAGGAGAAUUUAGAAGUUCUGAGAUAUUUAUGAUAAGAAUUCAAGUUCUUUGUUACUAGCAGUUUAAUGGUUAUAUCAUUUUUGUUCUCUGGAAAAUAUCUGAUACAAAAUUGGUACUUAGAUUUGGUAUUUAUAUUGUUCAUAUGUAGAAAUCUAAUACUAUAGCAAAUUUUAUCUAAUUUAGAAGCAAUUAUAUUCUACUCUUUGGAAUAUGUUCUGGCCUGCUUUUAUGAUUGUAAUUAUAAAUUUAAUAGAGGAGAUUACCAAACAUCCAUACUAAUUAAACUUUUAUAUUAUAAAUUUUUUCAGUUUUAUAUUGAAAACAUAUCCCUUUAGUAUAAGACUUAAAGGAGAUGUCUUUUGGUAUAAAAACUGAAAUAAAAAAUCUUUUAACUAUAUGGGUCAAAUGGAUGAUUAAACUUAUAAAUGUACAAUUAAACUUAUAAAUUGUAAUAAACGAUACUUUAAUUUUAAACUCUAUUGAACUUUUUUUAAUGUUCUCGCUUUUCUUUUAAAUGCAUUUCACUUGUGUGUUUUGUAUUCAGGCUGAUUUUAACUUUAUUCUCAAAUAUACAAAAUAAUUUUUGGUAAUUAUCUUGUGUCGAUCUUGACUUGUAGUAUCAAUGUGAAAUAUGUAAUAAUUACUUUUCUAUGAUUCAGAGGGAAAAUUAUUCCAACUAGACUUUUACAAAUAUAUUUCAAGUGGUAAUAUGAUUUUAAAAAAAAUAGGAUUCGCCACAAAAAAAAGUUACUGUUCCUAAUUGACAUGGUGCUGUCAAAAUUAUUUAAUUACAAUUUAGAUCUUCACUCUACAUAUAAUUAAUUAAUUACCAAUUAUUUAAAAGACUAGUAAAUUAUAAUUUUAAUCUCUCUACAACUUUCUAAAUUUAGUUAUGAUUCUCUCAAAAAAAUUUCCCUUAAAUAUUAAUUAUAAUUACCUUUAGACAGAAACAUUUCUAAUUUAAACAAGCAAAAAUAAGAAAAAAAAAUAGAUUACAAAAACUAAAUUUGAAUUUUUUUAUAUAACUCCAAAUAUAUUUUAUCCAUAAAUAAAUUCUAUUAAUAUUUCAUUUCUGUUUAAAUAGUUUAUUCAUAUUUGUAAUAUUAUUUUCAAAAAACAAUAAUUGUUUUUUGAAUAAAGGUUUACAAAUUCUAUAAUAAUGUAAAUGAGAAGAGGAGUGAGGGUAAAAAUAUGAGAACCUAUGUGAGGGAAUCUUGUGACAAUUUAGCUGGUGUUCAACUUGUGAGAAGUCUUUCAACUUGGUUUUCAAGUUUUAUAUUCAAUUUCUGUUCCUUCAAAUGUUUCUGAUUUUACAGCUCCUCAGGAUUUUACAGCUCCAUGCACAAACCUAAUACAAUGAUAUGAUAUUCAAUCAGCAUUAAUUAGCAUAAACAGGUACCUUGUUGUAAAACUGGGAAUAUGAGAUUCCAUAGGAUGGAGAAAAGUAUGAAGAGGAAUUACCAAUCACCAUUUACCAAUCAUAAUGCCUUCACUACAAAUGCAACCCAAAUAUGCUAAAGAAGUUAAUGAAACUAUAUAUGAAGAGUUUCAAGAAGAUGCAACUCUGGGACAACAGAGCAACCCAUCUCAUGCUGAACACAAACAUCAAACUACAUCUAACAAUAAUUCAGAAAUCUUAAUCAACAAUUGAGCGAACCCACUCCUAAAAUGCCAUUGAGAAUGUAAAUAAAUCAAAAUACAUUAAAAACGAGAAAUUCUUAAUAAAAAUUCAACGUGUUGAACCUUGUAAUUUAGAAGUAUUAACGAGAAGCCAGUUUAGAUCCUCACCAAUGAAAGACUAUUUUACAGGUUAGCUUCCACUGGAUUCUUCAAUGUGAACAGCACCACCAUAUUUAUCAUCUUUCUUUUUGGAAUAAAGAGGGCAUAUGCCGCAUUCUUUUAUUGUCACAACUGACCACCCAAAGUCAUAAAGAGGACUGAUCUCAAAAGUGAAGCUGCGAGCAUCACACAGCCUAGGGCUUAGGGAUUCUAAGUUAAAUUUCCAGACGAAUGUGUGAUCUUUAUCAACAAAACUGUAUUCACCAUUCCAUUUGAAAUGUCUGUUUAACCUAUCAUUAUUUGGAAUGAUAUGUGUGCCAUCAUCAUCAGAUUCAAAUUUUAGGCUGUAACCAAAAGAACCAUAUCUACCUUUAACAGAAUUCGUAUCUAACACUCCAAAAACCACACACAAAGCGAAACCAGUGAGCCUAUCAUCGCUGCAGAAACUUAAAUCUUCAUUUAUAGUCACUGAAUGUCCCUUCCCACGAAAAUGGAACCAACCAGGAACUGUACUCCCUGGAAAACAGAAGAACACAGACCUAUAUCUAUCAUCGGUCAUCCUAAGCCUUGCAUCCUCCUCAAUGUUAGCACGACCACCUGAAUCCAGUUGUUGAGCAUUGGUGAAACGAAAUUUGAAGACACCCUCUUUGGAAUUUGACAAGUUUUGAACAAGAGAAUUUGGCAUCACUCUUCUAAUGGAUGGGCAAUCCAAUGCCACGAGUUGUUUUAGAAAUGGUGGAAUCUGUGGGAUGCAUUCAAGCUUUUUGCAGUCGCUUAAAUCAAGCGAUUUCAAGCUUGAAAGAUGAGCAAUGCUCUCAGGAAGGUUCACGAUUCCGCUAUCACGCAGUGACAGUUUCACUAAUGACGUCAAGCGACCGAUGUGUCUUGGGAUUUUUGUUAAUUUGGCACACCCCGAACAAUCAAGUUUAGAGAGUAGCUUCAGACUAACAAUGGAGUUUGGAAGUGACUCGAGAUCAGUGCAUUUGCGGAGCUCCAGGGAUCGAAGAUUAACGAAAUUGGCAAAUGAGGAAGGCAGUACUUUAACAGCCGUAUAUGAUAAGUCAAUGCGAGCAAAAGUAGGAGCCCGCUCCGUGAUAUCUGGGAAGGUACUCAGGCUUGAGCAACCACACAAAUCAAGCUUGCUCAAUUUCAAAUUGAAAAUGCUGCUUGGAAAAGUCUGAAGUGAAUUACAGCGGGUGAGGUGUAACUUGCAUAGUCUGGUGAGGCUUCCAAUGGAAGAUGGAAUAAUCUGAAGAUUGAAGCAACUGCGCAAACUCAGUUCUUCAAGCCCUAUCAAACGGCACAAGGAUGAAGGUAGUGCCUGUAUGGCUGUGGCGUCUAAGAUGAGCACCGCUAGAUCUUCCAACGUGUCCUGAAUCUCGGGUAAAUUUUCCAAUUUUGAGCAACCACGGAGAGAAAGUUGAUUUAUGAAUUUCAUAUCAGAAAGGUCAAUUGGAAAGAUUGUAAGAGAAGAACAGUGAGAGAGAUCUAUGUGAGAGAGCUUCUUGCCACUAAAUUGUAAGGGCACACCUUCGUAGUCUUCUGAGUAUUCUGAGUCUGUAGCAUUAUUAGCAUUUAUCUCUUUCAUCAUAUCCGGUUCCUGACGCUCCAGUAUGACAUGAGGGAGAAAUUUAUCUUCAUGUUCACCCAAUGAAAACAUAUUAAGCUUCUCACAACCGGAAACACUAAUCCAUCCUGGUGAUGUGGAUAAAAUGUUGCUGGGAAUAUUUACACUUUUGAGAUUAGAACAAUGAUCUAAACAUAAACAACUGAGCUUGGUGAGGAAUAUCGAAGAGUGAACUUCAAUCAACUUUGAACAAUAACUCAGCUUUAUUUCUUCAAUAUUCGGUGACAGAGAAAGGUCUGGUAUUCUAGUAAGUUCCCAAGAUUUAACCAGGUCGAGCCUUUUCAAGUUGGGUAAAUUCUGCCAGAAAUAGUAAAUGAAUGAGGUAACAAAUAAAAACUACUUUAUCUAUUUUUCUUCCUAUUUAAACUAUUAGCUACUAUCUAUUGAGUUUAUAUUUUACAUUACUUAAAAACCACUGUUAAAAAAACCACACUGUGGACUAACAAAACUCUGCCUAUAAAUUUUAUAGUUAUUAUAAAAAAUCACAAAAUUUAACGUCUUUUUGUUCCCUACCUAAAAUUACAUCCUAAUCAUUUGAACCUAAACUUAUUAUGUAUUCAAAAACUUAUGAUAGUAAUUUAUAAUCGAUCACAAUGUCAAAAUACUUUAUAUUAUACAUGUAUCAACUCACAAAAUAAAUGGUGUUGUCUCAGAUUUAAAAUUAAACCUUAGUUAAAAAGUCCAUCUUUCCAUAAUUUAUUUUAUUAAAUACAUAAUUUGUAAUUUAUUGUAUAUUAUAUUCAAGUUUAUGUUAUGAUAAAAAAAGUAUCUAAGGCAUUUUUAAUUAAAUAAUAUAAAAUAAACAACAUGAACUCAAUUAAAUAAUAUAAAUUUUUUUGAAUACUCGAUGGAAUAAAAAAAUUAAUAAAACCCUCAAUUUGAAAAUAACCAAAUUUAUAAGAUACUUAAAACUUAAUUAAACCUACAAAUUUUCAUUAUAUGGAAUUAAAUAUUGUAAAGAUUUACCACAUAAGUUUCAUAAGUAGAAGGUUUAAACAUAAAAUUCUUCACGUUGGGAGUUUCUUUCCUCUAUCUUAUAAGUUUUCGUUGUUUCUUUAAUAUUUUUUAUAUGGCUUCUGUCAAUGUAAUUUUUUUUUUGGUUUUAAAAUAUUAUUAAAGAUAAAAUAUGAAGACAGGGUAAUUAAAUUAAAUAUAAUUUUUAUUUUUCAGAAAUGAUGAAAAUUAUAAUUAAAUUAACUAAAUUAUAUAAAAUUCCAUUUUAUUUACAUAACUCAUUUUCAUAUUAAAAAACUAUAUAAGAUCUUCCAAAGUAGAUAUAAUACAUUCACGGGCCAUUAGAUGAUAUGCCUAAAAAAAUAUGCAAACUAUUAAAUUUAUAAUUAUCUUUAAUUAGAAACAUGCUGAGUAUGACUCAAAUAAAAGAAAUUUCAAAUCGAAUAAUGUCGAGAAGGCACAAAGGAAUUGCAAAUGAAAACUUGUAUAUGUAUAAUACAGAAAACAUGCUUGUAUAAUUUAUUUUUAUCUUUGAAAGUUUAGAACACAAAGGAACAUAGAUAGCUUGAAAAACCUGAUCUCCUUCCCAGAGUUGUUCAAGAUGGCAGAAUGGCAUUUCGAGGGUCACUAGAUUUUGUGGGCAAAAGUUUGGAGGCCAAAAUCUUUGAGGGAAAUGUGUCCAAUAAAGAAUCUUUAGAGUGUCUGGCAUAUCCACAAGAGGUGAUUCAAAAGACACUUUUAAUUCCAAUCCCCACGUGUAGAGCCUAAGCACCCUAAGAUUGUUCAUCUUUUCGAAACUUUGUGCAUGUACUACAACUUCUUUUACUUUGAAAGUAGAUAGUGAUAUACACUCUAUUGAAGUAGAUAGUGAUAUACACUCUAUUGCAUCUGACCCCUGAAAGUAAAUCAUGAAAUGUUGCAUUGCAGGAUGUUUGAUGACAGCUCAGUGGUUUGCAAUUUUUCACAAAGUAAAUCCAUUCUCAAUUGAGUAACGACAUAAUACCUUGUUCUUUCUUAAAACCUCUCAAAUUUCCUCAGCAUUAAACAAUCGGCUGCGUUUUCCAGGAUGCUGAGGACACUCUUUACGAACAAUUUCUUUACCCAUUUCUUGUAUUAGAUCGUGCAUCACAAUUCUACCAUGAAAGACAGAUAUUAGGCCCCUAUCUUUGAGAAUAUCCAUUCCAAUCUUGGAAGAGAAACCACAGUCAGCAAGUAUUUCUGCUACCACAAUCUCUUGUGACCUAUAUAAAAGCAAGCUAUGUCAAGAAAUAUAUUCUUCUCCUCCUCCUCGAGCCCAUCAUAACUUAAUUUUAAUACAUUGAAAAUACCAAGAUGUUGGCCCUUUUCCAACUUUUGCAACUGACUCUCCCAUGCUUCUCUUGUUCUUCCAUAAAGCAAUGACCCCAAAAUCUGGAGAGCUAAUGGAAUCCCUUUUGCAUAUCUCAACACCUUUUCUGACAGUUCCCUGUAAGCAAUUUCUUCUGAAGAUUUUUGUUUAAAAGCAAGUAAACUAAAAAGUUUCUGAGAAUCAUCAAAAUUCAACUCCUUAACUUCGUAGAUAUCAUCAGCUCUAGCAUUCUUAAGCACUUGUUUGUCUCUACUGGUGAUAAUGAUUCUACUGCCCUGCCCAAAACUAUCACUCCCUCUUAUUAAUUUUUGAAGUUGAGCUGAAUCGGUAACAUCAGUUAGAAGUGGAACACGUUUGUAGAAGUGGAACACGUUAGUUGGUUAGUUGCCUUAAGAAGCGGAUCAUGUAUUUUUUCUUGAACGUCUAAAACAAGGCUGCUGGAAUCAAACUGCAAUUCCAAUUUGUGAUAUAUUUGAUCACAAAUUGUAGUUUUUCCUAUUCCUCCCAUGCCACAAAUGCCUAUGAUCCGAACAUCCGGUAAGUCAAGAUGCAACAAGGACUGAAUUCCUUCAAUAUUUUUUUCAAUGCCGAUGAUUCCUUGAUCAUAACUGAUGGAAUAACGAUUCAAUUUUCUCAAAAUAUCUCCCACAAUUCCUUCAACAAGUGUGUGUUCUGACCUGGCAGAUGAUUUAGAAAAUAAAGUAUAAGUAUUCAUGCACAAAAGCUAAAACAAAACUAAAGAAAAAUUCAGAGUCAAGAAGAGUGAACAUCAUUGAAUAGAUUCACAUAUUGAUUGUAGGACGUUAUCUUCGAAUAUUAGUGUGGUUGGUUUAGAAAUUGCAAAUCAAGAUCGCAGAAAUUCUACAGUAACCGGUAGUGACUUCUGAUACUAGGAAGCAGUCUUGUAGGUACAAAGUUAAGCUAUAAGAUGUGAUAUGGUUCAGAUCUAUGACCCACUACGAAAAAUGGAAAAAAGAAACACUUGAUUUAUGGUGAGAUGAACACAAUUUUAGUAAAUGAAAAGAGAUCCUGAUUAUCUAAUAAAUAUAAUGACCUGGUGACUUUUGAAUCCCAGCCUGAAAGUCCAGCAGCUUCGGUGAGAGCAUCCUUCCAUCCUUGCACUUUGUCGUGCUUAAAGUGCUGCUCAUGCUCAUCGAAUGCUUCUUUGUAUCUUUCUUCCUGCUUCCUAAUAGUUGACGGAUCCACCUUGUAGAAAACAGGUAUGACAUCCCUUCCAUAUCUCUUCUUGCAAUCAAGUAUCUUAGUGAGUUCAUUCAAGCACCAAGUGGAAGAUGCAUAGUUUUGGGAGAAAACGACGAUAUAAAUCUUCGAUUCUUCUAUUGCAGAGAGCAGUGCAGAUGAAAUUUCUUCGCCCCGGGGUAGUGUCUCAUCAAUAUAUGCUUCUAUGUUCUUCCUUUGCAGUGCUGGAUGAAGGUGGCUAAUGAAGUUGUCACGUGUGUCUUCCCCUCUGAAGCUGAGAAACACAUCAUGCUUUGUUAGAGAAGUGGACACGGGGAAUGAUGAAGAACUUCCUGUUUAAUUUCUUCGCCCCUGUUUAAUCUGUAAUCAAUAUAUGCUUCAAUGUUCUUCCUCUGCAGCGCUGCAUAAAGGUGACUAAUGAAGUUGUCACGUGUGUCUUCCCCUCUGAAGCUGAGAAACACAUCAUGCUUGGUUAGAGAAGCAGACAUGGCCAAUGAUGAAGGGUUUCAAUUUUCUCUGCAACUCUCAGAUCCCUUUGUUUGUAAGCAACUUGCAUAUAUUCUAUUUCUAUCACAAAUCAACUUUUGGAAAAGCCUUCAAUUCAAAAUAUGCUUCACAGCUUUAUAUUAACGUGCCUAGCUUUAUACCAUUCUUACGCAUUGGUAAAGAUUCUUCAAUAUCUUUACUCAAUUUGUUUCUUCAAUACCUUUUACACAUUCUUACGCAUUGGUAAAGAUUCUUCAAUAUCUUUACUCAAUUUGUUUCUUCAAUACCUUUUACAUAUAAAGAAUCGGAUUUGUUUAAUAUAUUUUAGAAAAUAACCAGUAAACAGAAAACUAGGUUAAUAUGACUAAAUGAAUAAAGAUAGUACUCAUAAAAAAUAUUUUAGAUUACAAGUGGUAUAACUAAAAUAAAAUAUUUUAUUUUUAAAAUAAAAUUUAUAAAUAAAUAAAAAAAUAUAAUUGUUUAGUUUUCGGUGUAAAACAAUAUUCAUUUUUAUAAAAAAAAAUCUUUUCUCUUUUAUUUUAUUUUUAUAUUUCUAAUUAGAGUAUUCUUGAGUUUGACAAUAGAAUCCUUUCUUUGGACUUUUGGAAUUAAAUAAAGAUGUUAAUUGAAAAAAAAAAUUGAAAUAGAAACUAAUUUAGAAACCAAAUUUCUUUUUAGUUUCUAAAAUGGUCUCUAAUUUAGUUACUAUUGCAACUAAUUGUUUUGGUUUCUAGAAAUUGGUUUCUAUUUCAUGAUUUUCUUGUAGUGUAUACUGAAGGUGUGCACCCCUAUGAAAUGUUUUUAUUUCUAGUUGAUGUGUGAUUUCCAAUAAUUAUAUAAAUUGAUUGUUAUAUGCAGUGUGAAGUUUAACCUUGAUUUUUACUUGAAAAAAUGGAUUUUAAUAUGAGGUAUGCAUGCUCUCAUACUCAAAUUCAAUAAGCGGAAUUUUCACAUGUCAAUAGAAUUUGAACCUGCAUAGUUUUGGGCACUCUCCACCUCAAAUUCGCUCAAUGUUUUUUCCUGCGUUUAAGCGAAAUUACAUGCAGAUUUUGGAGUACUUUCGGGCUUAAAAUUGCUCAAAGAAAUUUCCCUAUGGCAAGCAAAUUUAAGCUACAAUUGUUUGGGUGUUCUUUGCCUCAAAUUCGUUGCCUCAAAUUCGUUCAGCGAAGAUUUCUCUGGGCUUAAGCCCCAACUUCAUGGGCUCGAGCCAUUUUGACAACAUUUGUCAUCUUUGCUUAGAUAUCUUUUGGUUUGUUUUCUAUAGGUCAUGAAAUUGAAUUAAAUCUUUUGAAAUUUAACAUGUGUUUAAAAUAAGUAAAUCUAACAUUUAUAAUCAUGCAACAUGUGUUUAAUUUAUAAAAAAAAUAUAAAACAAAUACUCAUUAUAUAUUCAAUUGAUAUGUAAAAUUUUAAAUAUUAUGUGAUUAUUGUUGAUAUUUUGUAACGGUUUUAAAAAUAUAAACUUCUAUAUGAUUGAAUGAUAUAUUAUCGAUACAUAGUAAUUUCAAGUAAGGAAAUACUUUGUUAAGGAUAGUUAGGAUGUGUCUUGAUUAGUAAUACAUUUAGAAUAAGAUAUUUGACUCUAUUCACAUAUUAAGGUGGUGACAGUCAAAUGAGAUUUAUAUGAUUUGAUCUACAAUAUAAAAAAUCAUAAUCUAACAUGCCAUAUGAAUUAACCUUGUCAUAUUAGGUGAUUCUAUUAUGAUAUUCUUAUUCGCAUAGAUGUGUGAAUUUCACAAUGGGGUAUUAUAACAUGUGCAAAUUUUUUAGUCUAAAUCAAUGUACGAUUCUUUCAGAAAUAGGGUCAAGUGUACAUGUGGAUCUAAUUAGAUUUUUGACAUGAGUAAUAUGGAACACAAGUCAUUUAGAGACACUUAAUUGUUUAAUAUAUUAGGAAUGAAUGAAGUGUGAUUAUUCAUAUGAUUAUGAUUGAAUGAUUCAAAUAUAAAUUUUAAAAAUCAUUAACUUAGCCUAAUUUCUUGUUAGUAUCAUUUUUUUGUUAGUAUCGUUUUUUUUUUAGAUUUGUUAUGAUCGUGAGUUACAUGUGAACAUAUGAUGUUGUAUGUUAUAGGCCUCAAAAUUGAAAAUGAGAGAGUUUUUUCUUUUAAUUCUUUUGAUGUUUUAUUUUGAUGUAUAUAUUUGAUUAUGAUAUAAUAAUAUUACAAUGUAAAUGUUAUUUAUAUACUAUCACAUGGUAAAUUAAAAUUUAAUAAGGUAGUUAAGGAUGUUAUAAUUAUUCUUUUAAUUUAUUUUAUUUCACUGUAUAUUUAGGUGUAUUACGUAAAAUGUAUAGUUAAAAAAAAUAAUGUUAUUUUGAAAUUUAAGCUUUUGUUAAAAUUAUACCAUUUGAAAAGGAACACAGAACAAUCUUGACAAUUAUACUGACUUAGUACUUAUUUUAAUUUAUUAUAUUCAUGAGUAUUAUUUUUUUCUUAAACAUAAAUAUUGGAUAAAAAAUAUAAAUAACAUUUAUUUAUUUCAAAUUUAAAAAUCUUUAAAAUAAAUAUAAAUAAUAUUUUUAAUCAAGAUGUGUUUUUUAACAAUUUUUUUUAAUUUAAAAAUAAUUAAUUCGGACGAUGAUUAAAGAAAUAUUAACAAAUUAUUUCUGCGAUUAUAAUAAACCUUCAAUAAUUUUUGCACUUUCUAGCAUAUAGAAUAUGGAUCCUUUUGUGAUUUUUCUUUUCUAAAGUACAAUUGAUAUUUUAAAUGUUUUUCUAUUUAAUUUUCCUUUCUUAAUGCACAUAAAAAUUUCAGUGCACAAUUAUUACUCACCUUAAUUCAAAAUGGAAAUUAAAAUUCAAGAACCCUACUUAUAUAUUAAUAUUCAACGAUUUAAAAUAUUAGUAUGCAAAUUAAUCUUUCUUAAUAAUAUUUGUAACAAUUUUUAAUAAUUCAAUGUGAAAUAUGUAAUAAUUACUUUUCUAUGAUUCAGAGGGAAAAUUAUUCCAACUAGACUUUUACAAAUAUAUUUCAAGUGGUAAUAUGAUUUUAAACAAAAAUAGUAUUCUCCACAAAAAUAAAUAGUUACUGUUCCUAAUUAAACAAGUCACAUUCUUGAACAAAAUAUCAAAUAACAAGGAAUUAGACUAUGAAAUGAUGACCAAUUAUAUUAAACAACAUAACAUACAUUUCUCAAUGUACACAAGGUAUAAAUAAUACAAUAUCAUCCAAAACCUGUGUUCACUAUGUAAAUAAACCAUUUUUUUUGCCAUUACCUCUUUCAUGAUGAUGAUUUGUUUACUAGGGAUUGCAAUGAUAGGUCAUGAUCAAAACUUAGGCCUAAGACUAAAAAUAGAAUGAAAUGAGCAUGAAAAUAAAGAUAACUUUUGAGUGAGACACAUUCUUCCUUACAAGCAGCAAGUUCUUCCAGGUUAUCUUCUCUUCCUUCAACCGUAGCUGUGCAACCGCCUGUUGUUCAUUGCCACCAAUAUCUCUAGUGCCAAAACUAUGUUUUCCAAAAUUAGAGUUAUAUGGCUUUAUCUGUGAAGUCUUACCAGCCAUAAUGUUUUAUUUUACUGUUUUGUUGUAAUCAUGCCAAUAGAUAAAUCGUGGAUUUGUAAACCACGAAACACCAUUGAGUAUGCAAAUGGGUUGAAUGUGUUUUUGGAUAUUGCAUUUCAACAUGCUAAUGGUCCUGUAAUUAAGUGUCCAUGUGCAAAGUGUGGUUUCAAAAAGUGACAAACAAGGGAUGUAAUCCAAGAACACUUAACAUUUACAACUUUCCCUCAGAACUACAAAACUUGGUAUUUGCACGGUGAAAGACCAAGUGUAAUUGAGCCUAUGGUCACUACAAGUGUGCAUGUCAUUGAAGAUUUAUUUGAAUCUCAAAAUACAAUGGAAGACAUGUUGAAUGAUGCAUUCGAGUUUGCGGGACAUGAUGAGGAUACUGAAGUUGAUGGUUUGCAAACUAAUAUGGUGGGUGAUGAAGGAAUAUGAACUUUGAUGAAUUGAUGAGGGACAAUAAUGAACCCUUAUAUGAAGGUUGUACAAAGCAUUCGAAGUUAUCAUUCAUGUUGAAGUUGUACCAUAUCAAAUGCAUGAGUAGAAUGAGUGACAAAGCAAUGACCAUGAUUCUAGACUUGCUAAUGAACACAUUUGAACAUGCUAAGUUUCCUAACUUGUUUUAUGAGGCGAAGACUGUGAUUACCAAACUUGGACUUAAUUAUGUCAAAAUACCAGCUUGCCCAAAAGACUGAAUGCUAUAUUGGGGCGAAGACAAUGAAGGCUUAGAAGAAUGUAAACGGUUCAAAACGUCUAAGUGCAAAAAAAAAAAAAGAUAAGAAGCAAUUGCAUUACUUUCCAUUAAAACUGUGAUUGCAAAGAUUGUUUAUGAGUUCUAAGAUGAUUGAGUCUAUGACAAGGCAUGCAUCAAAGGAUAAUCAAGAUGGAUUGAUGAGGCAUCCUAGAGAUUCUGAGGCUUGCAAAUCAUUUUAUUGCAUCCAGAAUUUGUAAAUGACCAUUGAAAUGUACGAUUAGACUUAGCUGCUUAUGGCUUUAAUCCUUAUGAAAACAUGAGUAAAAACCAUAGUAUAUGACGAGUGGUUAUCAUCCCAACAAUCACCCUCCUUGGGAGUUAUGAAGCAAACAUCUUUUAUCCUCUACAUGAUAAUUUCUGGAAAACAAAUGGUAGAAAAUGACAUUGAUGUUUAUUUAAAACCACUUAUAAGCAAAUUGAAGGAGUUAAUAGUAUGAUCAUGUAAUUAUUAUUUAUAUACUAAAUAUUACGACAUAUAGUAAUUUAAAAUUUGAUAAGGUAGAUGAGGAUAUUAAAAUAUCUCUUUUAAUUUAUUUUAUUUUAUUGUAUAUUUAGGUGUAUUAUGUAAAAUAUAUAAUUAAAAAAAAUAAUGUUAUUUUAAAAUUUAAAGAAUCACGUAUAGAAAGAAACAUAUAACAAUCUUGACAAUUAUAUUCUGACUUAGAGAUACUUAUCUUAAUUUAUUAUAUUCAUGAGUAUUAUUUUUUUCUUAAACAUAGAUAUUGGAUAAAAAAUAUUAAUAAUAUUUAUUAUUUAAAUUUUAGAAAUAUUUAAAAUUAAAAUUAAAAUUAAAUAAUAUUUUUAAUUAAAAUAUGAAAAAAAUUCCUUAACAAUUUUUUUAAUUUCAAAAUAAUUAAUUCAGAGGAUGAUUGAAAAAAUAUUAACAAAUCAUUUCUGCGUUUAUAAUAAACCUUCAAUAAUAUUUGUACUUUCUAUCAUAUAGAAUACUUAAUGGAUCCUUUUGUGAUUUUUCUUUUCUAAAGUACAGUUGAUAUUUUAAAUGUUUUUCUAUUUAAUUUUCAUUUCUCAAUGACAAAUAAAAUGGUUCAGUGCACAAUUAAUUAUUCUCACCUUAGAUUUCAUUCAUCUCAUUCCAUUUCCACACUCAAAUCAUUCUCACAUUUUUUUCUACCUAUUUCACAAAGUUUUUGUUAAAAUAUGGAAAUUAAAGUUCAAGAACCCUACUUAUAUUUCAUAUUCAACAAUUUAAAAUAUUAAUAUGCAAAUUAAUAUUUCUUAAUAAUGUUAUUUUUAUGUAAAAAUUAAAAUGUAGUUUAGUCAUUCAUACUUAGAUGGAUAAAAAUGGUUUUAGAAAGAAAAAAAUAUGCAUUUUUUUGAAAGGUUAUCUAAACUCUAAACUCAUUGAUGAAUUAAUAAUAAUAAAUAAUAUGGAAUUCUAUACGAAUAGCAUAUAAAUGUUUUCUUGUUGAAACUGAUAAUUAAUUCAGUCUAGGGACAAUUAUCGCGGUAUUUGUUCUUUUAUUUUUAAUGUUUAAACAAUUAUAAAAUUCUGUUUUUAGAUAUUAAAAUGAUAGUUUUCAUUUACAGAUUAAAAUAUUACUUGUUUCUUUUAAGAUUUUUUGUAUUAUAAUUAUUUGUUGUCUGAAUUGUUUUGAUUUAACAUGUUGUUUUCUUGGGCUAUGAUAUUGUGAGGUUUUAUUACAUGCAGGUACGUGAAUAUUUUUUUUAUCCUAGUUGUAUAAAUCAGGAAAAUUGUUUUUCACAUUAUAAUAACCGUUUAACAACUCUAAAUAAUAAUAAAAUAUUAACUCAUAUUGUUUAAUUAAAGUAUAAAUUAAAUUAUUAAAUAAAAAAGUAGUAAAACUGGUUGCAGGAUGGGAAUAUGAUUAUUUUUAACUGCUAGCUCCUGAUUAUUCUUUUCUAAUAAAAAAAACACCAAUAGCAACAAAACAAGUUUUGACACACGUAGGUUUGGCAAUUGUUUUAAUAGCUGAAAAUAGUACAACAAUUUUUAAUUACCACAAACUGCAUCUUAAAUCAUAAAAAAUUAGCAUUUUGUUAGUUCAUAUAUAAUAAAAUUUCCAUAAAACAGCCAAUUGUAUUAAUUAUUAAUAAUGUAUUUACAAUUUUUUUAGAUAAUUUUUUUACUAUAAAGACAUUUAUUUGAGAUUGAAAUUGUAAUUAACACUUUUUGGUCAAAGAAUAAUAUAUUUCACUUGAUUUUUUGUAUUAAAUAUUUUGUAUAGCGCUGAGACAAAAAAAAAUCUCAUAUAAAUCCCUAUGUGCUACAAGUACAAUAUAACAUCCUUAAUGUAAGCAAUAAAAAUGAUGAAUACUCAAAGUCGUGUAAUUACGCAAAAGAAUCAAGUGAUUUUUAAAAGAACUCACAUGAUCAGUUUAAAUUUUGACGAUAAAAUACAUUAAUUAUAUAUAUUUAUUCAAAAUUUCAAUUAUAUUAUGCAUUAAUGGUUUUAUGCUUUUAGAGGAAUCAGAGAAACUUAGAAAAGCUCCUAAAAACUAAUGUAACCCUAUGAAUAGAAGAGAGCUAAAAGAAAGAGAAAAUGGAAGUGAGAAAAGAUGAUAAUUAAUAAACACGCUCUCUUCAUAACAUAGAGUCUUUAAACCUAUAUUCCCUCAAACAAUUAUAAAGAAUUAACAAUCACACUUUUAUAAGUCAUCACCCACAUGAAACAAAACAAGGUGCCUCAAUAUGAAUAAACCAAGAUUAAUAAGAAAUAUGAGGUUUCACUAACCAAGCUCAGAAUUUUCUGCUUUUAUAGCUCCAUGCACAAACCUAAUACAAUGAUAUGAUAUUCACUGCAAAUGCAACCCAAAUAUGCUAAAGAAGUUAAUGAAACCCAAAUAUAAAGAAUUUGAAGAGAAUGCAACUCUGGGACAACAGAGCACACCAUCUCAUGCUGAACAGAAACAUCAAACUAUAUCUAACAAUAACUAUACCUAUGUUUGCUUUGGGUCUGUUUUUAGUUUCAAUGUUACUCUUUAUCUGCAGGUUGGGAACAUAUCUUGAUGAAAUAUAGAAACAUUUUUAUUCAUAAUAUAUAUAAGGAUUACACAUUCAUAAUUAUUUCUUUCUGUCGUAGCAUUGUCUACCUCAAAUCACUGCAACUUUCUGUUGUUGGUAUUUGCAUAUCACGAUGGUUAUUGAGAAAUUUAGGAGUUUGCUGUUGUGUACCAGAAGUAAAAUAGAAGGUUCAUUUUUUGGUCAUCAUCAAUUAUUAAUGUAAAUAGAUAUAGGUGAAGGAGAUCAGUAUUAUGCAUUGUAUCAUGGACCAUUAGAAGACUAGGGUCACCAAUUGGAGGCAUUGGUAACUUUGGCUAGUAAAACUAAAACCAAAGUCCAUUUUUACAAAGCCUUGGUCUAAUUCACCUUAUAGCUGUACUUUUUCCUCCAUUUUAAUAAUAUUAAGUUUUCAUUUUCUAUGCAUAAUCUUGGGUAAUUUUCUUUUUAUAUCAAUGCUUGAAGUGUCAAAUUGUUACAAGCUGGAUUAUUAAGAAAGAAAAGAGUGCAUUCUGGAUGCUCGAAAGGGAGUGUUUCCUAGAAAAAAAAUGUGAUUUCAGGGUGUCCAGGCUCAGGUAGCAAUGGUAGGAGUUCCACAUUGAAAUGGAUGAACUACUUGAUUUAGUACUUUGGGACUCUCUCACCUAAUGGACUAGUAUUUUGGGUUAGCUUCUCUCCCCUUAAUGCUUAAGUCCUAAAAAACAGUUUUUCUGUUUCUAUUUAUCUUUUAGGGUGUGAUUAGGACCAUGAAGCAGUGGGUGUUUUUUCCAUUAAUGAACUUUGCCACUGCCACAGAUCACCUAGGUUAACCUAAUUAAGUCUUCUGAAUUGUAUUUUGUAAUUAAUUCUUGUAAAACAUGGAGUGUAAAAUUCAUGUACAUUUUUCUUUUCCUCUUUUGAUUUGGAUGUCAAACUAGCAACUUCAUGUUUUGUCUGGUUGGUCUAUCACAUUUAUGUAGGUUGUAAUCUAUUUUGCCUAAUGCAUCAGUUGCAGAUAGGUACUAAAUUAUCUUAGUUCGGAUACACCUUGCCAAUUAGAUUAAGAUCAAGAAUUUAAAGUGAAUGGUUCACUUCUGAGUUCUUAAAUGAGAUAAAAUGUUCAGAGAUACUAAAUCAUCGCCUUCAUUUGAAAAUUGGCGUGCCUAUUAUGCUUUUGAGAAAUAUUGAUCAAACCAACGGUCUUUGUAAUGGAACAAGGUUGCAAGUUAUUGAUUUGAAGAAAAUGUUAUUUGUGCAAUAGUUCUAACAGGAACAAAUAUUGGUGAUAAAAUCUUCAUUUCAAGAAUGAAUUUGAUCCCUUUAGAUGUAGGUAUGCCAUUCAAAUUCCAGAGAAGACAAUUUCCAAUAGCUUUAUGUUUUGCAAUGACAAUUAAGAAAAGCCAAGGUCAAUUAUUGACCAAAGUUGGUUUAUAUUUUUCACAUCCAAUUUUCACACAUCGAUAGUUGUAUGUAGCUAUUUAUAGAGUUCGAAAGAAAAAAGAUUUAAAAAUUCUAACUCUUGAUGAAGAUGGAAUGCAACAAACAAGAAAAAGAAAAUGUUUACACUGAAAUUUUUGACAAUAUUUGAAAACAAUAGAAUUAUAUGAUAAACUUGGAAUGGCUAAUUCUCCCUGCAACCAAUAUUUUUGAACCUGCAACUUUUAAAUUUUUGAAAAUGCUCUUUAUUCCAGAAAUGAAAAUAAUACAUUACAAAAAAAAUAGAUCCAAAAAAGAUUAUUGUGUUUUGGUAAUAAAAAUCGGAAAACAAAAAUCAAAAGCCCAUUAUGAAUAAGAAAAUUCGUAAUACAAAAAAUUUGGUCUUAAAAACAAAAUCUGAAAACAUAUUCCAGAAAGAAAAUCCGAAAUGUAUUUUUAUAUAUAACCCAUUUUUUCAAGGGAGUUUCGUCUUUUCUAUUGUAAAAGGGGUUGGAAUUUGCUCCCUUGGAAUUAUAGUUUCUUAUGUGUGAUGUAGUAACAGUUGCCUUAUUUAAAAUGUUACUAAAUAACAUAUAAUUUAUAUCUGUUAUUUUUAUUCUGUUAUGACUUUAUAUAUUUGUCACAACAUGAAUGAGGCACAAACCCAUCUCAUGUUAACGAAGUUGAGAAUUUUCUGAUUUUACAGGUCCAUGCAAAAAUCUAAUAUAAUGAUAUGAUAUUCAAUAUCAAGAGGUACUUGUCGUAAAACGGGGAAUAUGAGAGACUCCAUAGAAUGAAGAAAAAGUAUAAAGAGGAUUUACAAAUUAACCUUUCAAAUGCAGCUCCUCAGAAUUUCAUAAUGCCUUCACUGCAAAUGCAACCCAAAUAUGCUAAAGAAGUUAAUCAAACAAUACAUGAGGAGUUUCAAGAAAAUGCAACUCUGGAACAACAGAGCAACCCAUCUCAUGCUGAACAGAAACAUCAAACUAUAUCUAACUUAGAAAUCUUUGUCAACAAUUGAACGAACCCACUCCUUAAAUACCAUUGAAAAUGUAAAUAAAACAAAAUAAAUUAAAAACGAGAAAUUCAUAAUAAAAAUUAAACGUGUUGAACCCUGUAAUUUAGAAGUAUUAACGAUAAGGCAGUUUAGAUCCUCACCAAUGAAAGAGACUAGCUGACUAGGUAGCUUUCGGCCUUCCUCUUCCUAUCUUCCCUUGUUUCUCUUGAAGACUCUGCAAUAUUGCUUCCAUUGGAUUGUUCAAAGUCAACAGCACCACCAUAUUUAUCAUCUUUCUUUUUCGUAUAAAGAGGGCAUAUGCCGCAUUCCUUUAUUGUGAUACCUGAUUUCAACCGAAAGUGAUAAUCACACGGACUGAUAAGUGAAGCUGCGAGCAUCACAGAUUCUAAGGCUCAUGCCGCUCGCCCUUAGGAACUCCAAGUUAAAUUUCCACACGAAUGUGUGAUCUUGAUCAACACAUCUCUCUUCACCAUUCGAAAUAGCUGUUUAACACAUCUAUCAUCGCUGCAGAAACUUAAAUCUUCAUUUAUAGUCACUGAAUGUCCCUUCCCACGAAAAUGGAACCAACCAGGAACUGCAGUCCCUGGAAAACAGAAGAACACAGACCUAUAUCUAUCGUCGGUCAUCCUAAGCCUUGCAUCCUCCUCAAUGUUAGCACGACCACCUGAAUCCAGUUGCUGAGCAUUGGUGAAAUGAAAUUUGAAUACACCCUCUUUGGAAUUUGAGAGGUUUCGAACAAGAGAAUUUGGCAUCACUCUUCUAAUGGAUGGGCAAUCCAAUGCCACGAGUUGCUUUAGAAAUGGUGGAAUCUGUGGGAUGCAUUCAAGCUUUUUGCAGUCGCUUAAAUCAAGCGAUUUCAAGCUUGAAAGAUGAGCAAUGCUCUCAGGAAGGUUCACGAUUCCGCUAUCACGCAGUGAUAGUUCCAUUAAUAACGUCAAACGACCAAUGUGUCUUGGGAUUUCUGUUAAUUUGGAGCACCCCGAACAAUUUAGAGAGAAGCUUCAGAUUAACAAUGGAGUUUGAAAGUGACUCGAUAUCAGUGUAUUUCUGAAGCUCCAAGGAUCGAAGAUUAACGAAAUUGCAAAAUGAGGAAGGCAACUGCGCAAACUCAGUUGUUGAAGCCCUACCAAACGGCACAAGGAUGAAGGUAGUGCCUGUAUGGCUGUGGCGUCUAAGAUGAGCACCGCUAGAUCUUCCAACGUGUCCUGAAUCUGGGGUAAAUUUUCCAAUUUUGAGCAACCACGGAGAGAAAGUUGCUUUAGGAAUUUCAUAUCAGAAAGGUCAAAUGGAAAGAUUGUAAGGGAAGAACAGUAAGAGAGAUCUAAAUGACAGAGCUUCUUGCAACUAAAGUGUAAGGGCACACCUUUCAUGAAUUUUGUCAACACUUCUAAGUAUAUAGUAUUAUUAGCCACUUCUUCUUCUUCAUUAUAUCUGUCAAAAGUAAUUGAGGAAGUUGGGAAAAUAUGACCACUGUAUGCACGAGGUUCACCACGCCGUCCUGCACCAUGCCGUUCUGAGAAAUUUAUCUCUUUGAUCAUAUCCGGUUUCUGGCGAUGGAAUCUUGAGAAAGUUUGACGUUGACGCUCCACGCUCCAGUAUCACAUGAGGGAAUCUUGAGAAAUUUCCACGUUGAUGCCCCAGUUUCUGAUGUGGGUAUCUUGUGACGCUCCAGUUUCACAUGACGAAAUCUGGGUUCACUGGUUGAAAACAUAUUAAGCUUCCCACAACAGGAAAUAUUAAUCCAUCCUUGUAAUGUGGAUAAAAUGUUGCUGGGAAUAUUUAUACUAUUCAGAUCAUAACAAUUAUCUAAACAUAAAUAACUGAGCUUGCUGAGUAAUAUCGAAGAGUGAACUUUAAUCAACUUUCCACAAUAACUCAGAAUUAUUUCUUCAAUAUUUGGUAAGAGAGAAAAGUCUGGUAUUCUAGUAAGUUUCCGAGAACCACUCAGGUCAAGCCUUUUCAAGUUUGGUAAAUUCUGCCACAAAUAGUAAAUGAAUCAGGUAACAAAUAAAAACCACUGUUAAAAAAAUCACACUCUGAACUAACAAAACUGUGGCUAUUCACUAUCAACAAUCCCUCUCAAAUACACUUCUACUAAUACAUUAACAACAAUAUCAUUAUAUUAACCAUAAAAUAUUACAUUUCUUCAGUUAAUACGUAGGACAAUAUAAUAAUCAGGUCACUCAGCUAAUGAAAAAAAUUAAACAACAUGAACUCAAUUAAAUAAUAUAAAACUUUUGAGUACUAGAUAAAAUAAGAAAAUUAAUAAAAAUUCAAUUUGAAAAUAAUCAAAUUUAUAAGAUACUUAAAACUUAAUUAAACCUACAAAUUUUCAUUAUAUGGAGUUAAAUACUAUAAAUAUUUACCACAUAAGUAGAAUGUUUAAAUAUAUAUUUCUUCACGUUGGAAGUUUUUUUCCUCUAUCUUAUAAGUUUUCUUUGUUUCUUUAAUAUUUUUUAAGCCAAUGUGAUUUUUUUAAUAUAAAAUAUUAUUAAAGAUAAAAUAUGAAGAUAGGGUAAUUAAAUAUAAUUUUUUAUUUUUUAGAAAUGAUGAAAAUUAUAAUUAAAUUAACUAAAUUAUAUAAAAUUCUAUUUCAUUUACAUAACUACUUUUCAUAUUAAAAAAACUAUAUAAGAUCUUGAAACUAUAAUUAAUAUUUCUACUCAUUUUUCGUUUUUGUUGGUGAAAUCUUGAUUUUGGGAUAGUAUUAGUGAGAUAUUGUUUGGAGUUAAAAACAAGAAAUUCUUUUGCAUAAUCAAUUUGAACAGUUUUGAUUUUGAAACCAGAUUUUCAGAGAAGAGUUUAAAGCGUUCAAAUGCAGCAAGAGCUUGAGAUUUAGCAUGCUAGAGAUAAAUUCAUGUAUAUUUUAAAUAUGCAUUAGGAAAAGAGAUAUCGUAUGAUGCAACAUUAUUAGCACAAACAACAAACAGCAGAACGUCCCCAAAUAUCAAUAUAGAUAAAUUCUAAAAGGUGAUUAUCCACACUGUUUUAGAACAACUUUGAUUACAGAAAAACUAUAACGCCCAAGUCUAUUAUGCCACAAGUGAAAAGAAGUUUUUUCAUAUUUAAAAGAUGUGUAGUUAGCAGAAAAAACAGAGGAUCAGAGAUCAAGAAAGACAGAGAGAUCAUCUUUAAGUGUGCCUUGUAGAAGAAUCUGUUUAGUUACUUAGUCUUUAACAUAGCAAGAAUGAGGGUGAAAUUCAAAAAACACAUUGUUGUUACGAGCAAACUUUGAAACACUAAGCAAAUUCUUAGUAUAAUGAGAAACAUGUAAAAGAUCAAGGAGAGAGAAGGAAGUACAAGAGGUAGACGACACACAGGAAGCAGAACCAAUGUGGGAGAUUUUUAUACCUGCACCAUUACCAAGUUUAACGUUCGCAAUGCCAUGAUAGAUUUGUUGAUCAUUGAACAGAGUAUGGUCGUUUGUUAUAUGGUGAGAGACACCGCUAUCUGGGUACCAUAAUGGAUCUUCUAAAGAUGAUGGUGGACCAAGAAGAGAGUAAGAAGAGUCAUCACGUGGAGGUGGAGAGAAAUGAGAUGUGUUUGCAGAGGAGGAUGGUGGUGUAGUACGAUCAAACCAGUGCCAACAAUGAAGAGCAGUGUGUCCAAGUUUGGAGCAUAUUUGACAGCGAACAGGGUUGCGUUUCCAUGAUGAAGACGUAGUGGAGUUCCAAGAAGAGUAUUGGGAAGGUCGGGGUUUGCCGCGGUUGAACUGAUUCUAGUUAGAUGUGGGAUUGUAACCACGACCACCACAGGAGGAGUUGGAAAAGGGGAGGUGGAGAGAAAUGAGAUGUGUUUGCAGAGGAGGAUGGUGGUGUAGUACGAUCAAACCAGUGCCAACAACAAUGAAGAGCAGUGUGUCCAAGUUUGGAGCAUAUUUGAGAGCGAACAGGGUUGCGUUUCCAUGAUUACGACAGUAAUAAAUGUAUUAUAUUCUUCAGAUAGCCUUCAAGGAUGAUGUCAAUAUGAUCAGUGGAAACAGGGGCAUCAAUAGCGGCAAGCAUGUUGACGGCGUUCUUGAUAUCAUGGAGAUAGGAGGAGAUGGAUCUGUGAUGACCUGAUUUUGUUGUUGGUACCAUUAGAGACUUGGGGACUGUCAUCAGUGGUGGAAGAAGUGGUUCUUGAUGGAACACUAGUGUCGUCAAGAAAAUGACCCAGUUUGAGCCCGCAAAUGGAGGCAAGGACUUGAUGUUUCCAGAGAAGAUAGUUAUCUUCAUCUAGUUUAAGAGUGAUGGGUGUUGUGAACUGUUGAACGGAAGGCAUGACCAGAGGUAACGGGCAAGAAGAAGAUGCAAAAGAAGAUGAAGAGAUAUGAGUGCAGUGCAUUAGAAUAGAGAGAGAAAGGAGAAAGAUAUUAUCUUAGUAUAUGUGCUAAAGGUAUAUAAGGAGUGCAGAACUGGAAACACUUACAAAGUUGUCGUUACACAGUUAUAGUAUGGUUAACAAUGUAUAAUACAGAAAACAUGCUUGUGUACUUUAUUUUUAUCUUUGAAAGUUUAGAACACAGAGGAACAUAGAUAGCUAGAAAAACCUGAUCUCCUUCCCAGAGUUGUUCAAGAUGGCAGCCUGGCAUUUCCAGGGUCACAGUCUGGCAUUUCCAGGGUCACUAGAUUUUGUGGGCAAAAGUUUGGAGGCCAGAAUCUUUGAGGGAAACCGUUCCAAUAAAGAAACUUUAGAGUGUCUGGCAGACCUACAAGAGAUGAUUCAAGAGACACAUUUGAUAUGAAUAUAGGCAUGUAGACCAUAAGCAUCAUAAGAUUGUCCAUCUUUUCGAAACUUUGUGCAUGUACUACAGCAUCUUUUACUUUGUUCGUAUGUAGUAAUAUACACUGUAUUGCAUCUGACCCCUGAAAGUAAAUCAAUUUAAUUAGGAGAAAAAAAACAUGAAAUGUUGCAUUGCAGGAUGUUUAAUGACAUCUCAGUGGUUUGCAAUUUUUUACAAAGUAAAUCCAUUCUCAAUUGAGUAACGACAUAAUACCUUGUUCUUUCUUAAAACCUCUCAAAUUUCCUCAGCAUUAAACAAUCGGCUGCGUUUUCCAGGAUGCUGAGGACACUCUUUACGAACAAUUUCUUGACUCAUUUCUNNNNNNNNNNNNNNNNNNNNNNNNNNNNNNNNNNNNNNNNNNNNNNNNNNNNNNNNNNNNNNNNNNNNNNNNNNNNNNNNNNNNNNNNNNNNNNNNNNNNGAUCCAUCUUUUUCUGCUGCUACCAUGUCGAACUCCCUUCAAAUCAAUACAAUGUCUUCACCAUCAAUCAGCCAAGUGAUUAAUGUUAAACUCACACAAGAAAAUUAUUUAUUGUGGUCUGCUCAAAUCCUUCCCUAUUUACGUAGUCAGGGGCUGGUUGGGUUUGUGGAUGGAUCCAUGCCACCACCAAACCAAACGAUUACGGUUGAGUCAAGUGAAGAAACAGGGAGCCGCAAAAUCCUGAAUUCACAGUCUGGUACCCCCAGGACCAGCUGGUACUCAGUCUCAUCAACUCAUCGGUUACCGAGGAAGUUCUCAGCACGGUGGUCGGAAUCACCACUGCACGAGAAGCCUGGGAUAUGCUGGAGCGGCAAUUUGCCUCCACAUCUCGAGCACGAGCAAUGCAGAAUCAUAUGGAACUCUCCACGAUCCAAAAGAAGGACAUGACAAUUGCUGACUAUUUUCGUAAAGUAAAACGUCUCGGAGACACUCUGGCUGCCAUUGGCAAGCGAGUAGAGGAUGAAGAACUCAUCGCCUACAUGCUGCAAGGACUUGGUCUAGAUUAUGAUCCUCUUGUCACAAGCAUUACAACUAGAACAGAUGUUUACACUGUCAGCGAUGUGUAUGCUCAUAUGCUGAGCUACGAGAUGCGUCAUCUGCGUAAUGGUACUCUUGAGCAAUUUCCUUUUGCUAACAAUGUCAACAGCAUGUCUAAUCGAGGAGGAACUAAUGGACGUCGUGGUGGUCGUGGUCGUCAAUCAAAUGGUGGUCGAGGACAAACAUGGCACACUAGAAACAAUUCUGGACGUCAGCCAUCAAAGGCACAAAGUAACUCAGACAAAGUCUGUCAGAUUUGUGGUAAGCCAAACCAUGAUGCUUUGCAAUGUUGGCACAGAUUUGAUCAGGCAUAUUAAGCCGAAGACAAUCUUAAACAAGCAGUUGUGGCCACAAGUGGAUAUACUGGUGAUGCAAACUGGUACGUAGAUACUGGAGCCACAGAUCACAUCACCAACGAGUUAGAAAGACUUACCACCAACGAACAUUACAAUGGCACUGAUCAGAUUCAAGUUGCAAAUGGCUCAGGUUUUUCUAUCUCUCAUAUUGGGAACUCAUUAAUUUCUGGUUCAUCUAGAUCUCUUGUACUGAAACAUAUCCUAUAUGCUCCUAAAAUCAAUAAACAUCUGAUUUCAGUACAAAGACUAGCAUCUGAUAAUAAUGCCUUUGUGGAAUUUCACCCACACUGUUUUUUUGUUAAGGACCGAGCCACGAAGGAACUUCUGCUCACAAGUAGAUGUAAGAAUGGCCUCUACACUUUACCAAAUAACUCCAGCAAAGCAUUCCCGACAGCCAAACUUUCGAAAGAACAAUGGCAUAGAAGACUUGGGCAUCCUGCUUUCCCAGUCACAAUUAGAAUCUUGAAAAAUAAUAACUUAGCUCUAGAUACUAGAGUUUCUUCUUCCUUAAUUUGCCAUGCUUGUCAACUAGAAAAGCACAUCAAUUACCCUUUGUUUCUUCUCAACAUGUAUCUACAGCACCUCUUCAAUUGAUUCAUACUGAUGUAUGGGGUCCAGCCAUUGUCUUAGUGAAUAAUUCUAAAUAUUAUGUUUCAUUUGUUGAUGAUUUUAGCAGAUAUGUUUGGAUUUAUUUUUUGAAAUACAAGUCUGAUGUUGAGUCUGUGUUUCAUCAGUUUCAAAAACAUGUUGAAACCAUGCUAAACACCAAAAUUCGCUCUGUCCAGUCAGAUUGGGGGGGUGAAUACCAUCGUUUGCACCAAUAUUUCAAAACAACUGGAAUUGAGCAUCGUCUUUCUUGUCCUCACACACAUCAGCAAAAUGGGUUGGUAGAAAGAAAGCACAGACACAUUGUGGAAACUGGCCUUACUUUACUUGCCCAAGCUAACAUGCCUUUGUCCUAUUAGGAUGAAGCCUUCAAUACAGCUUGUUACCUUAUAAAUAGACUACCAUCUCGAAUCAUACAAGCAAGACACACCACUUCAUAAAUUAUUUGCAAAAAAUCCAGAUUACACCAUGCUUAAGGUGUUUGGCUGUGCUUGCUGGCCCAAUUUAAGGCCUUACAACACCAAGAAACUGAGUUUUCGAACCACUAAGUGUGUCUUCUUAGGCUAUAGUUCUUCUCAUAAGGGAUACAAGUGCUUAGAUAGAAGUACAAAACGAAUUUACAUCUCUAGAGAUGUAAUCUUUGAUGAAAAUGUGUUUCCUUUUGAAGAAUUAAAUUCUAAGUCAUCAAUCCAAACCAAAAAUUCACACCAGCCUGCUCUACUUCCAACCUUCGUUAAACCCGUUCCAUACACUGAAAAUGCUCUCACAAAUAUUGAACCAGUUGUUAAUGAUUCUCGUAUAAUUGAUGGUCAAUCUAAUGAUGUUGCUAAUAACAACUUGUCUGGUAUAAGCUUACAUCCUGCAGAUAAUACAAUAAGUCCAGAAAUUGUUGCAGAACAGGAAGCUGAGAACAGUCUGACCAAUUUCCAAGAACAGAUGUUCNNNNNNNNNNNNNNNNNNNNNNNNNNNNNNNNNNNNNNNNNNNNNNNNNNNNNNNNNNNNNNNNNNNNNNNNNNNNNNNNNNNNNNNNNNNNNNNNNNNNGAACAAGAUUGAAAAAUAACAUUGUCCAAGCAAAACAGUUCACUGAUGGUACUGUCAGAUAUUCAGAGACCUCAAGAAAGUUUACCGGUGCUGUCACUGUCAAAAAUCCGACCACAAUAAAUGUACUAAAAAAUGCUACUGAGACUGAUACAGUUACUGAACCUCAAAACCUGCAGGAAGCUCUACAAAGUCCAGGUUGGCAGGAAGCAAUGAAUAAUGAGCUCUCAGCAUUACAACACAAUGAGACUUGGGAUUUCGUUCCACCAAAACCUGGCAUAAAUCUCAUUGAUAGUCGAUGGGUGUAUAAAGUGAAAAGGAAAGCGGAUGAAUCAGUGGAGAGAUUGAAAGCAAGGUUGGUUGCUAAAGGGUUCAAGCAAAGAUUUGGCAUUGAUUACAUUGAUACCUUUAGCCCCGUGGUCAAGCCAUCAACAAUCAAAGUUAUUCUUUCACUAGCAGUAACCAAAGGCUGGAAUAUGAGACAAGUUGAUAUCCAAAAUGCAUUCUUGCAUGGAAUUUUGGAAGAGGAAGUGUACAUGCGACAACCAUCGGGAUUUCAAGACCCAUAUAAACCAAAGGAAUACAUAUGCAAACUCAAGAAAGCGCUUUAUGGCCUGAAACAGGCUCCAAAGGCUUGGCACUCAAGACUGACUGGAAAACUUAUGGAAUUAGGCUUUAGAGCUUCUGUAGCUGAUUCAUCUUUGUUUAUCCUCAAAAACAAAGAGGUAACCAUCUAUAUGCUCAUAUACGUUGAUGAUAUAAUUAUCGUGAGCUCCUCUGAUCAAGCCACCGAAAGGUUGAUUCAGAAGUUGAAAAUAGAUUUUGCUAUAAAAGACUUAGGUGGUCUUGAGUAUUUUCUGGGUAUUGAAGUCAAGAAGGCAAGAGAUGGCAUCACANNNNNNNNNNNNNNNNNNNNNNNNNNNNNNNNNNNNNNNNNNNNNNNNNNNNNNNNNNNNNNNNNNNNNNNNNNNNNNNNNNNNNNNNNNNNNNNNNNNNAAAUUAUUCAAAGAGCAGGGAACACUCUUGUCAAUUGAAGAACAAUUUAAAUACAGAAGUACUGUGGGAGCAUUGCAAUACUUGACAAUGACCAGGCCUGAUUUGGCAUUUGCUGUCAACAAGGUUUGCCAAUACCUUCAUACGCCUACUGAUGCUCAUUGGAGUGUUGUAAAGAGAAUCCUUCGUUAUGUCAAGGGCACAUUAGAUUUGGGAAUCAGAAUUCAGAAGUCUCCAACAAUGCUGCUGUCCGGAUUUUCUGAUGCUGAUUGGGCUGGUUGUCCUGAUGAUCGACGUUCAACUAGCGGCUUUGCUGUAUUUCUUGGAGCAAAUCUAAUUUCUUGGAGCUCUAGAAAACAAACCACAGUGUCCAGAUCGAGCACCGAAGCAGAAUACAAGGCCAUUGCGAAUCUGACAGCAGAAAUGAUUUGGAUAAAAUCAUUAUUGAAAGAGCUUGGUGUGUAUCAAUCAAAAGCUCCUCGACUCUGGUGUGACAAUCUAGGAGCUACAUACUUAACUUCAAAUCCAGUGUUUCAUGCAAGAACAAAACAUAUUGAAGUUGACUUCCAUUUUGUUCGAGAACAAGUGGCACGCAAAGCAAUGGAAGUUCAGUUUAUUUCAUCAAGUGAUCAAGUGGCUGAUAUCCUAACAAAACCACUGUCUAGAACUCUCUUUAUUACACAUUGUAACAAUCUCAACAUGUAUAAAACCUGUUGGGAUUGAAGGGGACUGUUAGAAUUAGUCAGUUAGAAGUGGAACACGUUUGUAGAAGUGGAACACGUUAGUUGGUUAGUUGCCUUAAGAAGCGGAUCAUGGAUCCAACCGUGUAUGCAAUCAGUUACCUUUCUUUAAUUAUAAAUACAAUACGUCCUCCACAUAGAGAGGUACAGUUAGCAAACUUUAUUAGAGCUGAAUCGGUAACAUCAUCAAGAAUGAGGAGAACCUUUGUCCGUUUGAGCCUUUCAUUGUAAUAUGGUGAAGAAGAGGAUUUCUCUUCCUUUAGAAGCUCAGACUGAUAUUUUGUUCUGAUACUGUCUAUUCCAUCUCUUUGUAUUUUUUCUUGAACGUCUAAAACAAGGCUGCUGGAAUCAAACUGCAAUGCCAAUUUGUGAUAUAUUUGAUUACAAAUUGUAGUUUUUCCUAUUCCUCCCAUGCCACAAAUUCCUAUGAUCCGAACAUCCGGUGACUCAAGAUGCAACAAGGACUGAAUUCCUUCAAUAUGUUUUUCAAUGCCGAUGAUUCCUUGAUCAUAACUGAUGGAAUAACGAUUCAAUUUUUUCAACAAGUGUGUGUUCUGUGCUGGCAGAUGAUUUAGAAAAUAAUGUAUAAGUAUUCAAGCACAAAAGCUAAACUAAAGAAAAAUUCUACAGCAUCCGUUUGUGACUUCUGAUACUAGGGAGAAGACUUGUAGGUACAAAGUUAAGCUAUAACAUGUAAUAUGGUUCAGAUCUAAGACCGACUAAUAGAAAUGAAAAAAGAAGCACUUGAUUUAGGGUGAGAUGAACACAAUUUUAGUAAAUGAAAAGAGAUCCUGAUUAUCUGGAAAGUGCGUGACCUGGUGACUUUUGAAUCCCAGCCUGCAAGUUCAGCAGCUUCGGUGAGAGCAUCCUUCCAUCCUUGCACUUUAUCGUGCUUAAAGUGCUGCUCAUGCUUUUCGAAUGCUUCUUUGUAUCUUUGUUCCUGCUUCCUAAUAGUUGAUGGAUCCACCUUGUAGAAAACAGGUAUGACAUCCCUUCCAAAUCUCUUCUUGCAUUCAAGUAUCUUAGUGAGUUCAUUCAAGCACCAAGUGGAAGAUGCAUAGUCUUGGGAGAAAACGAUGACAUAAAUCUUUGAAAAAUAAGUAUGAAAUCUAGAUAUAUAUCAUUAUCACGUGUGGAAGCUACGUCGUCUUGUAUUGGAUUUUCUAAUCUGCCUUUUAUCUUGUCUCAUUCUUCUUUAUCUUUUUUCUCUCAUCUCUCUUGCUUACGAUUUCUUUGCCUUUAUUCAGAAAUUUUAGUUAUAAUAAACCUUCAAUAAUAUUUGUACUUUCUAGCAUAUAGAAUACUUAAUGGAUCCUUUUCUGAUUUUUCUUUUCUAAAGUUCAAUUGAUUUUUUAAAUGUUUUUCUAUUUAAUUUUCCUUUCUUAAUGACACAUAAAAUGGUUCAGUGCACAAUUAAUUAUUCUCACCUUAGAUUUCAUUCAUCUCAUUCCAUUUCCACACUCAAAUCAUUCUCACAUUUGUUUCUACCUGUUUCACAAAGUUUUAGUUAAAAUAUGGAAAUUAAUGUUCAAGAACCCUACUUAAUAUUAAUAUUCAACAAUUUAAAAUAUUAAAAUGCAAAUUAAUCUUUCUUAAUAAUGUCAUUUUUAUGUAAAAAAUAAAAUGUAGUUUAGUCAUUUAUACUUAGAUGGAUAAAGAUGAUUUUAGAAAAAAAAAAUGCAUUUUAUUUCAAAGGUUAACUAAACUCUGAACUCAUUUAUGAAUUAAUAAUAAUAAAUAAUAUGUAAUUGUAUUCCAAUACCAUAUAAAUUUUUUUUAUUGGGUGCGUUUCUGAUGAAUUAAUGCACUCUAGGGACAAUGAUCGCUCUAGUAUUUGAUUUUUUAUUUAUUUUAAUGUUAAAAUUAUAGCUAUGUAGUACAGAUAUUACUGACACAGACAGACACGAACACGGACACAGAAAUACAUAAAAUCUCUAAAAUGUAGAAUACGGAGACAUUAAUCUAUAUAUUAUAUAAUUAUGAAUCAUAUAAAUUAACAAUAAAGAUUUAUGUGCACAAGUAUUUUUGAGAUUAUUUUUUAGAACAGAAAUAUGUUUUUCAUGACUAGUUCACAAAUAUUUGUUUCUUAUUCUUAUAAUCAUAAUAACAAUUUAUACCAUAAAGUUUCAAUUUUAGAAAAUUAAUGUAUUUUUUCUUUUUAAAAUUUCGUUAGAACUGUACUAGAAUUGUAAAAAAUCUAACAAAUACAUUUUGAAUUGGACAUUCCACGAAUACGUGUCCUACCAGUAUUUUGAACAACAUUCUUUCUUUUGGAACAAAGAGGGCAUAUGCCGCAGUCUUUUACUGUGAUAACUCAUUUCAACUCUCACACAACUGAUUCGUAAUCUGUGGGAUGCAUUAAAGCCUUUUGCAGUUAAAUCAAUAGUAUAUGAUGAUGUGAAUGUUAUUUAUAUACUAAAUAUAAUCACAUAGUAACUUCAAAUUUGAUAAGGUACAACAUGUUACCAUAUCUCUUUUAAUUUAUUUUAUUUCAUUAUAUAUUUAGGUGUAUUUAAUUUCUUUUAUUUCAUUGUGUAUUUAGGUGUAUUACGUAAAAUAUAUAAUUAAAAAGAAAGAAGAAUAAUGUUAUUUUGAAAUUUAAAGAAGACAUAUAGAAAUAAACAAGCUUUUGCUAAGAUUCCACCAUUGAAAAGGAACAUAGAACAAUCUUGACAAUUAUACUUUGACUUAUUUUAAUUUCUUAUAUUUAUGAGUAUUAUUUUUUCUUAAACAUAGAUAUUGGAUAAAAAAUACAAAUAACAUUUCUUUAUUUCAAAUUUAAAAAUAUUUUAAAUUAAAAUAAAAUAAUUUUUUAAUUAAGAUAUAACAAAAUAUUCUUUAACAAAUUAUUUUAAUUUCAAAAUAAUUAAUUCAGAGGACGAUUGAAAAAAUAUUAAAUAUUAUAAUAAAGCUUCAAUAAUAUUUGUACUUUCUAGCAUAUAGAAUACUUAAUGGAUCCUUUUAUGAAUUUUCUUUUCUAAAGUACAAUUGAUUUUUUAAAUGUUUUUCUAUUUAAUUUUUCUUUCUUGACACAAAAUGUUCAGUGCACAAUUAAUUACUCACCUUAGAUUUCGUUCUUCUCUUUCCAUUUCCACACUCAAAUCAUUUUCACCUUUUUUUUCUUCUUAUUUCACAAAACUUUAAUUAAAAUAUGGAAAAUAAAGUUCAAGAACCCUGCUUAUAUAUUAAUAUUCAAAAAUUUAAAAUAUUAAUAUGCAAAUGAAUAUUUCUUAAUAAUUUUAUUUUGAUGUAAAAAAUAAAAUGUAGUUUAGUCAUUCAUACUUAGAUGGAUAAAGAUGGUUUUAGAAAAAAAAAAAGAAUAUGCAUUUUAUUUGAAAGGUUAUCUAAACUCUGAACUCACUGAUGAAUUAAUAAUAAUAAAUAAUAUGGAAUUCUAUUCCAAUACCAUAUAGGAUGGAGAAAAGUAAGAAGAGGAUUUACACAUUACCCUUUCAAAUGGAGCUCCUCAGGAUUUCAUAAUGCCUUCACUGCAAAUGCAACCCAAAUAUGCUAAAAAAGUUAAUGAAACUAUAUAUGAAGAGUUAAUGAAACUAAAUGGCGUGUGCUGAAAUUUUUGAUCCGAUAACCAUGCCCACAUUCAAAAAGUGAAAGGUUACUUUGCUUUAUAUUCCUUUGGGUGGUGCUACUUUUCAACUUGACAACAAAUUCCCAUUAUUGUGUGGUUAUCAAUUACCAUUUAACUUAUUCUCAUACCACAUUCACUAUAUAAUAGUCCAUCAUAAACCCCAAAAUUUGCACAUUUUCUAUUUGCAAGACAUCCAACAGACAAAGAAAACAUGUGAAACUGUGUAAUAAUGUGAGAACGUAAGAACUUACUUCAUCAUGAAAUCAAGCCAUGCCUGAGGGUUUUUUCUGAGAGCAUUCACCACAGGUGCAUAUUCAUGUGGCUGUAUCCCAUACUCAGCUAGUAUUUCUGCUACCUCUGCCGCUUCUUUUUUUGUCAAAAAACACAUAUUCAUUAUUAAUGUGCAAUCAAAUGGUAACGAAACUAUGUAGUACAAACACACACUGAUACGACACUAGGACGAACAUACGUAUAAUGUUACUCCUUCUAUGGAAAUGAAGGAUAUUCAGCAAUAACUUUUAAAACUCAUUACAUAGAAAUUUGCAUCAAGUUAUCAAAGUCUAUAGGAAUGAAUUUUCAAUUCAUGGAAACACAGAUAACAAAAAGUAAUAGAAAAAUAGAAAAAAAGUUGUCAAAUGAUUCUAUAAAAAAUUAACCUAUCAUGAAAAUCAAGAUGAUAGAAAAUAAAAUAAUGUGGCAUGAACAUCAAAAUCGUAUAAAAGCAUAAUAGAAGAACAGUGGAUACCAGUUUCUGGCACGGCGAUGAUUUCUUCUUGCUCUCUUUUCAAUUCCCUCGAGUAAUUAUCGGCUUCACUUUUUGCUGCCAAAUAACUGCACAAUGAAAAUUAACAUGAAAUAAUAACGGAAUUUAAAUUGAGUUUUGUGAGUGUGAAGAGUGUGGUUGAACGUACCCGCCGAGGCCCAUGGAGAUGGCGCCGGCGGCGACUUCCGCUAUGCCAGCGGUGAGAACGAUGGAGGAGGUGACAUUGGCGCCGGAGAGGCCGGCGGCGAGGGCGAAGGGGACGGUGAGGCCGUCGGAAACGCCGAUGAUGAUGUCGCGGACUAUUUCGCCGGCGGUGAAGUGCUUCUCGGUGUGGUGGUUGAGAAGGUUCGUUCUCUCAGAAUCCACGCUUAUGCCGUGUUCGGUGGCGGCCAUUGGUGCAAGCUUGUGAAUGUGUUUGAGUUCGCCAACGUGCUCUGGGAAUCCAAACAAAGCCUUGCUGCUUUGCACAUAAAUUGAGCCUCUUUUGUGCUCAACUUACUCCUAAAUAGAACAAAAAUAUCUAACCGUUGAUGAUAUCCACGUGGAAAAUUAUCAAUGGAUAUCAAUAUCACAUUAUUUCUACACUAAUAUUUUAAUUAUUUUUAAAUAUUAUAACUAAAUCAAUCAAUAUAAUACCAAAUCUUCUUAAUUCUUUGGAUUAUAUAUAUUUUAUUUUAUUUUAUUUAUAAAGGAAGUUGUGAUAAAUGUUGUGUUUUGUGUGCACAUUAAUAAAAAUCAAAUAACCAAAAAAUAAUAAUCUUGUGAAAGAAAAAAUGGUAGAAUUUAUACUAUUCUACAAAAUUUUAAAAGUGGCUAAUGUGUUUUACUCAACUAUGUAAAUAAUUUUGGACUCUCUUGUUAAGGAAAUAAUGAAAUACAUUAAAUUUUGUUUUAUACUCUUACUUUAAGUUUUUUUGUGUUUCUCCUGACUUAAUUAAAUAUCAGAGAGUCGUCUUUUGCAGGUAGAUUUCAUUCUAUCAUAAUAUACCAACUGAAAACUUGUUUUCUGAAAAACACACGGCUCUCACCGAAUUGCACUUUCCAAUUUUUUUUAAUAGAAAUAAUAAUAAUUAAGUAUUUGUGUUCUUAUAUUUAAUUUUUAAUAAAAAAAUUAUUCUUAUGUACUUCUAAAUUGAUAUAUUUUACCAAUGUCUAUUAACAAUGGGAAGAAGUUUAUACCUAACAAAACUAUUUAACAUGAUUUGUUUGUAAAUUAUAGAAGUAUGUGUAGAAAGAUAUAAAAUUAAUGUUUUAAGAGAAAUUUAAGCAACUUUCAUAAUAUAUUGUAGAUUAUUAGUUGAAUUUAUGGAAAUUAAAAAUAAAUUGUAGGUCACCACACUUCCACUUUUUUUUAAUGAUAUCAAAUCACAACUUUACAAUUUUCACUAAUUUUUAACCAAUAACAAAAGAACAUCUUAGAAGAAGUGUGUUUAAGAAUUUGAUGUUAACUCUCAUUGUUUUUUAAACUUAAAUCCAGCUUUAUUCUUCAACUUUUAAUUUUUAUACAUAUUUAAUUGUAUAUAUAGUUUUUAACUCUCUAAAAUCAAACAAUUUUAAUUCAUUAAAUAGGCAAUGUCAUGAGUGUUAAACUUUUAACAUUUUUCUAGUAAUUAAAUUACUUAUGAAGAUUCAACUAAUUCAAAAUUUAAUAUUUUUACAAUUUUUAUUAUAAUAUUCUUAAAAUAUAUUUUAAUAUUUUGUUUUUCAUGUUUGAAAUAUAAAUGUUUUAAAAAAUCAUUUUAAAUUAUUUUGUUUCUCAUCUUAUGUAAUAAAUUACUAUAAUAAUUACUAAAACAUUUAAUACCUAUACAUUUUUAAUGAGCAAAAACUAAUAAUGAAUUAUAACAAAUAAAAAACGUUUCUGGGCAACAAAAUAGUAAUUAAUAUGAAUUAUAACAAAUAAUGAACGUUUUGUGGUAAUUUGUUUCACUUUCAAAUAAGUUAGUACUUCGCCUGUUAUUUCAUAACGGUAGUUUUUUUAAAUAUAUUAAGAAAAAUGUUUAUUUUUUUAUUUUUAAUGCACUUUUAAGUAACUUGCCUAUUAUAUUAUAUUAUAUGGGUAUUAUAUAUAUAUAGGUAAGCACCAAAAAAUAAAUUUAAGGUAAAAGUGAUAUAAUUAAAAUAAAAUAAAUUAUUAUUAAAUAGAAAAUAUAUAUAAUUAAAAAAAUCAGUUAUUUAAGUUUUAUUUUAAAAUAAUUUUUGUAAAAAAAUUUUCUUUUUUUCCUUGUUCACGAUUUUAAAUUUUAUAUUCACUUGGUAGACAUGUUUUGCAUGUGGUGUUUGGGACUUAAAAGAAUAAUAUAUGUUAGUUCAAGAUCCUAAUGAUGUGUUUUUAAGAAGUUGGACUAUCUUUGUUUUUUUAAGAAGUUGAAGUCUUUUUAUGAAUACUUAUCUUUUUAAACAGGUAAGAUAAACUAGUUUUAUCUGUAAAACUUAAGUUAGAAUAUCUGAAUAUGAAAUGUGAUUCUUCAUAUGAUUAUGAUUGAAUGAUUCAAAAUUCAAGUAUAAAGUUUUAAGAAUCAUUAACUUAUGUUUUUUUUUUUGUGCUAUUUUUUUGAUUUUUUGCAAUGAUUGUGUGUUGCAUGUGAGCAAAUGAUGUUACAAGUUGUAAACCUAAAAAAAAAUCAUGAAAUUUUGUCUUUUUUAUUCUUUUGAUAUUUUAUCUUAAUGAUAUAUAUAUAUAUAUAUAUAUAUAUAUAUAUAUUUAAAAAUCUCUAUAUGAAAGGAUAGUAUUUUAUGAUAUAAUAAUAUGAUAAUGUAAAUGUUAUUUAUAUAAUAAAUAUCAUGAGAUAAUUUAAAUUUUGAUAAGAUAAAUGAAGAUGUUACAAUAUCUCUUUUAAUUUUUUUUUAUUUCAUUAUAUAUUUAGGCGUAUUUAAUUUCUUUUAUUUCAUUGUAUAUUUAGGUGUAUUACGUAAAAUAUAUAAUUAAAAAGAAAAAAUAAUGUUAUUUUGAAAUUUAAAGAAUGACGUAUAGAAAGAAACAAGCUUUUGUUAAAAUUCCACCAUUGAAAAGGAACAUAGAACAACACUCUUGACAAUUAUACUUUGACUUAGAUACUUAUUUUAAUUUAUUAUAUUCAUGAGUAUUAUUUUUUCUUAAACAUAGAUAUUGGAUAAAAAUUAAUAAAAUUUAUUUAUUUCAAAUUUAAAAAUAUUUAAAAUUAAAAUAAAAUAAUAUUUUUAAUUAAGAUAUAAAAAAAUAUUCUUUACAAAUUUUUUUAAUUUCAAAAUAAUUAAUUCAGAGGAUGAUUGAAAAAAUAUUAACAAUCUAUUUAUGCGUUUAUAGUAAACCUUCAAUAAUAUUUGUACUUUCUAGCAUAUAGAAUACUUACUGGAUUUCUUACUCUUUCUUUCUACACCUCUAUCCAUACUAAAUAUAAAAAUACCAUUUUAUUCUUUUUUCUCCACCCCUUGAAUUUGAAAUAAUAAGCCCAUGGAUUAUGUAAUCUGGAUAUAUUCCGGAUUAGUCAAUUUCAUAUUUAGAAAAGACUUUCGGAUUAUGUAAUCCAGAAGCUAAUAAAACAUCUGAAAAAAAGGCUUCCGGAUUACAUAAUCCGGAAGCUAAUCUUAUGUAUAGAAAAGACUUUCGCAUUAUGUAUUCCGGAAGCUAAUCACAAAAGACUUCUGGAUUACAUAAUCCAAACGCUAAUUCUAAAUCUAGAAAAAAGACUUCCGGAUUAUGUAAUCCGGAAUAUUAAAAAAGAUAUUUUUGAAAUACGAAAAAUUUAUGGGGGUGACACAAGAAGGUAUGGAGGUGCAGGAAGAAACAGCCUGGAUUCCUUUUGUGAUUUUUCUUUUCUAAAGUACAAUUGAUAUUUUAAAUGUUUUUCUAUUUAAUUUGUCUUUCUUAAAUGACACAUAAAAUGUUCAGUGCACAAUUAACUACUCACCUUAGAUUUCGUUCUUCUUUUUCCACUUCCACACUAAAAUCAUUUUCACAUUUUUUUUACCUAUUUCACAAAAAUUUAAUUCAAAAAUGGAAAUUAAAGUUCAAGAACCCUACUUAUAUAUUAACAUUCAACAAUUUAAAAUAUUAAUAUUCAAAUUAAUCUUUCUUAAUGUUAUGAAAAAUUUAAAAUGUAGUUUAGUCAUUCUUGGAUGGAAAAAGAUGGUUUUAGAAGAAAAAAAUGCAUUUUAUUUGAAAGGUUAUCUAAACUCUAAACUCAUUGAUGAAUUAAUAAUAAUAAAUAAUAUGGAAUUCUAUUGGAAUAGCAUAUAAAUGUUUUGUUGUUGAAACUGAUAAUUGGGUGCGUUUCUGAUGAAAUUAAUUAAUGCAGUCUAGGGACAAUUAUCGCUCUAGUAUUUCAUUUUUUUAUUUUUAACGUUGAAAUUAUAAUUAUACAAUUCCGUUUUUAGAUAUUAAAAUGAUAGUUUUCAUUUACAGAUUAAAAUAUUACUUGUUUCUUUUAAGAUUUUUUUGGUAUUAUAAUUAUUUGUUAGCUGAAUUGUUUUGCGUUAACAUGUUGUUUUCUUGGGCUAUGAUGUAAGCAAUAUAAAUGUUAUUUUUAAUGUAAGCAAUAAAAAUUAUGAGUAUUCAAAGUCGUGUAAUUACUUAAAAGAAUCAAGUGAUUUUUAAAAGAACUCACACGAUCAGUUUUAAUUUUGACGAUAAAAUAUAUUAGUUAUAUAUAUUUAUUCAAAAUUUCAAUUAUACUAUGCAUUUAUGGUUUUAUGCUUUUAGAGGAAUCAGUAACUUAGAAAAGCUCCCAAAAACUAAUGAAAUCCCAUGAAUGAAGAAGGAGAACAAAUGGAAGUGAAAAAUCAGUAAGAUGAUAAUUAAUAAACACCCUCUCUUAAUAACAUAACAUAGGAGUCUUUAAACUUAUAUUCUUCAAACAAUUAUAAGCUGUCUUCAACUUUACUGUUAAACUACAAUUAUAAAGAAUUAACAAUCUCACACACCAACAACAUUUAUAAGUCAUCACUCACAUGCAACAAGGUGUGCCUCAAUGUGAAAAAACCAAGAUCAAUAAGAAAUGAGGUUCCACUUAACCAAGCUGAGAAUUGUCUGGUUUUCCAGCUCCAUGCACAAACCUAAUACAAUGAUAUGAUAUUCAAUACCAAGAGGUACCUUGUCGUAAAACUGAGAAUAUGAGGUUGCAUAGGAUGGAGAAAAGUAAGAAGAGGAUUUACCAAUUACCCUUUCAAAUGCAGCUCCUCAAGAUUUCAUAAUCCCUUCACUGCAAAUGCAACCCAAAUAUGUUAAAGAAGUUAAUGAAACCGAAAUAUGAAGAGUUUCAAAAUAAAAAUUUAACAUGUUGAAACUUGUAAUUUAGAAGUAUUGACUAUAAGGCAGUUUAGAUCCUGACCAAUGAAAGACUAAUAAGCAGAAGAGGAAGAGACUAGUUGACUGGCUAGCUUUCGGCCUUCCACUUCCUAUCUUCCCUUGUUUCUCUUGAAGACUGUGCAACAUUGCUUCCACUGGAUUCUUCAAUCUCAACAGCACCACCAUAUUCAUCAUCUUUCUUUUUCGUAUAAAGAGGGCAUAUGCCGCAUUCUUUUAUUGUGAUAACUGAUUUCAACUCUCUCACAACUGAUUCGUAAUCUGGCCACCCAAAGUCAUAAUCACACGGACUGAUCUCAAAAGUGAAGCUGCGAGCAUCACAUAGCCUGAGGCUCAUGCCGCUCGCCCUUAGGGACUCCAAGUUAAAUUUCCACACGAAUGUGUGAUCUUUAUCAACACAUCUCUCUUCACCAUUCCAUUUGAAAUAGCUGUUUAACACAUCAUUAUUUGGAAUGAUCUGUGUGCCAUCAUCAUCAGAUUCAAAUGUUAGGCUGUAACUAAAAGAACCAUAUCUACCAUUCAUAGCAUACGUAUCUAACACUCCAAAAACCACACUCAAAGCGAAACCAGUGAGCCUAUCAUCGCUGCAGAAACUUAAAUCUUCAUUUAUAGUCACUGAAUGUCCCUUCCCACGAAAAUUGAACCAACCAGGAACUGCACUCCCUGGAAAACAGAAGAACACACACCUAUAUGCAUCGUCGGUCAUCCUAAGCCUUGCAUCCUCCUCAAUGUUAGCACGACCACCUGAAUCCAGUUGUUGAGCAUUGGUGAAAUGAAAUUUAAAUACACCCUCUUCGGAAUUUGAGAGGUUUCGAACAAGAGAAUUUGGCAUCACUCUUCUAAUGGAUGGGCAAUCCAAUGCCACGAGUUGUUUCAGAAAUGGUGGAAUCUGUGGGAUGCAUUCAAGCUUUUUGCAGUCGCUUAAAUCAAGCGAUUUCAAACUUGAAAGAUGAGCAAUGCUCCCAGGAAGGUUCACGAUUCCGCUAUUACGCAGUGAAAGUUUCAUUAAUGACGUCAAACGACCAAUGUGUCUAGGGAUUUCUGUUAAUUUGGGGCACCCCGAACAAUCAAGUUUAGAGAGAAGCUUCAGAUUAACAAUGCAGUUUGGAAGUGAGUCGAGAUCAGUGCAUUUGUGGAGCUCCAGGGAUCGAAGAUUAACCAAAUUGCCAAAUGAGGAAGGCAAUUCUUUAACAGCCGUAGAUGUUAAGUUAAUGUGAGCAAAAGUAUGAGCCGGCUCCGUGAUCUCUGGGAAGGACCUCAGCCUUGAGCAACCACCUAAAUCAAACUUCCUCAAUUUCAAAUUGAAAAUGGUGCUUGGAAAAGUUUGAAGUGAAUUACAGUGGGUAAGGUCUAACUUGCAUAGUCUGGUGAGGGUUCCAAUGGAAGAUGGAAUAAUCUGAAGAUUGAAGCAACUGCGCAAACUCAGUUGUUGAAGCCCUACCAAACGGCACAAGGAUGAAGGUAGUGCCUGUAUGGCUGUGUCGUCUAAGAUGAGCACCGCUAGAUCUUCCAACGUGUCCUGAAUCUGGGGUAAAUAUUCCAAUUUUGAGCAACCACGGAGAGAAAGUUGCUUUAGGAAUUUCAUAUCAGAAAGGUCAAACGGAAAGAUUGUAAGGGAAGAACAGUCAGAGAGAUCUAAGUAACAGAGGUUCUUGAGACUUUGAAAGUUCAAGGGCACACCUCCUCUGAGAUUUGCCGACACUUCAAAUUGUAAGUAUAGAGUAUUAUUAGCCACUUCUUCAUUAUAUCUGUCAAAAGUAAUUGAGAAAAUUUCACUGGAACUUCGGAAAAUAUGAACACCGGAUGCACAUUGCGCUUCAACUAUCAUAUUUCCACGUUUAUGCCGCAGUUUCAUAUGAGGGAAUCUGGGUUCACUGGUUGAAAACAUAUUAAGCUUCCGACAACAGGAAAGAAUAAUCAAUCCUGGUAAUGUGGAUAAAAUGUUGUUGGGAAUAUUUACACUAUUCAGAUCAUAACAAUGAUCUAAACAUAAACAACUGAGCUUGCUGAGGAAUAUCGAAGAGUGAACUUCAAUCAACUUUGAACAAUAACUCAGCUUUAUUUCUUCAAUAUUUGGUGACGUAGAAAGGUCUGGUAUUCUAGUAAGGUUCGAAGAAUGACUCAGGUUGAGCCUUUUCAACUUGGGUAAAUUCUGCCACAAAAUGUAAAUGAAUCAGGUAACACAAAAACUAAAUUAAAGUUUUAGGCAAUUUUAUCUAUUUUUCUUCGGUAAACAAUAGAUGACAAUGUCGAAAUACUUUAUAUUAUGCAUGUAUCAACUGACAAAAUAAAACGAUGUUUUCUGAGAGUUAAAAUUAAACCUUAUUUAAAAUAAGUCCAUCUUUCCAUAUUUUAUAAUUUGUUGUAUAUUAUAUUGAAGUUUAUGUUAUAAUAAAAAAAAUGACUUAAUUAAUCAAAUAAUGUGGAGAAGGCACAAAGGAAUUGCAAAUGAAAACUUGUAUAUGUAUAAUACAGAAAACAUGCUUGUAUAAUUUAUUUUUAUCUUUGAAAGUUUAGAACACAAAGGAACAUAGAUAGCUUGAAAAACCUGAUCUCCUUCCCAGAGUUGUUCAAGAUGGUUGCGUGGCAUUUCGAGAGUCACUAGAUUUUGUGGGCAAAACUUUGGAGGCCAAAAUCUUUGAGGGAAAUCGUCCCAAUAUAGAAUCUUUAGAGUGUCCGGCAGACCUACAAGAGAUGAUUCAGGAGACACUUUUGAUUCCAAUCCCAACGUGUAGAGCCUAAGCAUCCUAAGAUUGUCCAUCUUUUCGAAACUUUGUGCAUGUACUACAACUUCUUUUACUUUCCACGUACCCCAGGUAUUUAGUAAUAUACACUGUAUUGCAUCUGACCCCUGAAAGUAAAUCAAUGUAAUUAGAAAAAAGCAUGAAAUGUUGCAUUUCAGAAUGCUUAAUGACAGAUCAGUAGUUUGCUAUUUUUCACAAAGUAACAACAGAAUAUACCUUGUUCUUUCUUAAGACCUCACAAAUUUCCUCAUCAUUAAACAAUCGGCUGCGUUUUCCAGGAUGCUGAGGACACUCUUUAUGAACAAUUUCUUUACCCAUUUCUUGUAUUAGAUCGUGCAUCACAAUUCUACCAUCAAUGACAGAUAUUAGGCCCCUAUCUUUGAGAAUAUCCAUUCCAAUCUUAGAAGAGAAACCAAAGUCAUCAAGUCUUUCUGCUACCUCAAUCUCCUGGCGUCCUCUAUAAAAGCAAGCUAUGUCAAGAAAUAUAUUCUUCUCCUCCUCCUCCAGCCAAUCAUAACUUAAUUUUAAUACAUUGAAAAUACCAAGAUGUUGGCCCUUUUUCAACUUUUGCAACUGACUCUCCCAUGCUUCUUUUGUUCUGCCAUAAAGCAAUGAUCCCAAAAUCUGGAGAGCUAACGGAAUCCCUUUUGCAUAUGUCAACACCUUUUUUGACAGUUCCCUGUAACCAAUUUCUUCUGAAGAUUUUUGUUUAAAAGCAUGUAAACUAAAAAGCUUCUGAGAAUCAUUAAAAUUCAACUCCUUAACUUCGUAGAUAUCAUCAGCUCCAGCAUUCCUAAGCACUUGUCUGUCUCUACUGGUGAUAAUGAUUCUACUGCCCUGCCCAAAACUAUCACUCCCUCUUAUUAAUUUUUGAAGUUGAGCUGAAUCGGUAACAUCAUCAAGAAUGAGGAGAACCUUUGUCCGUUUGAGCUCAGACAGAUAUUUUGUUCUGAUACUGUCUAUUCCAUCUCUUUGUAUUUUUUCUUGAACGUCUAAAACAAGGCUCCUGGAAUCAAACUGCAAUUCCAAUUUGUGAUAUAUUUGAUCACAAAUUGUACUUUUUCCUAUUCCUCCCAUGCCACAAAUGCCUAUGAUCCGAACAUCCGGUAAGUCAAGAUGCAACAAGGACUGAAUUCCUUCAAUAUUUUUUUCAAUGCCGAUGAUUCCUUGAUCAUAACUGGUGGAAUAACGAUUCAAUUUUCUCAAAAUAUCUCCCACAAUUCCUUCAACAAGUGUGUGUUCUGACCUGGCAGAUGAUUUAGAAAAUAAAGUAUAAGUAUUCAAACACAAAAGCUAAAGUAAACUAAAGAAAAAUUCUACAGUAACCGUUUGUGACUUCUGAUAAUAGGGAGCAGAUUUGUAGGUACAAAGUUAAGCUAUAAGAUGUGAUAUGGUUCAGAUCCAUGACCGACUAAGAGAAAUGAAAAAAGAAACACUUGAUUUAUGGUGAGAUGAACACAAUUUUAGUAAAUGAAAAGAGAUCCUGAUUAUCUAAUAAAUAUAAUGACCUGGUGACUUUUGAAUCCCAGCCUGAAAGUCCAGCAGCUUCGGUGAGAGCAUCCUUCCAUCCUUGCACUUUGUCCAUGUCGUGCUUAAACUGCUGCUCAUGCUUUUCGAAUGCUUCUUUGUAUCUUUGUUCCUGCUUCCUAAUAGUUGAUGGAUCCACCUUGUAGAAAACAGGUAUGACAUCCCUUCCAUAUCUCUUCUUGCAAUCAAGUAUCUUAGUGAGUUCAUUCAAGCACCAAGUGGAAGAUGCAUAGUUUUGGGAGAAAACGACGAUAUAAAUCUUCGAUUCUUCUAUUGCAGAGAGCAGUGCAGAUGAAAUUUCUUCGCCCCGGGGUAGUGUCUCAUCAAUAUAUGCUUCUAUGUUCUUCCUUUGCAGUGCUGGAUGAAGGUGGCUAAUGAAGUUGUCACGUGUGUCUUCCCCUCUGAAGCUGAGAAACACAUCAUGCUUUGUUAGAGAAGCAGACAUGGCCAAUGAUGAAGAACUUGCUGACAUUGGAAUCAAUUUUCUCUCCUUUCUCUGCAACUCUCAGUGCCUUUGU
rnacentral:lncRNA from 1 species